rnacentral:lncRNA from 1 species
UCUUUUCUGGGUGUUUAUGAGUUUUUUUUUUAUAGAAAUAUAGUAAAAUAUUAAAAAUUAUAUUUUAAAAAAUGAGACAUAUAACAAUAUUUUAAGAUUACUUGUAAAAUAAAAAAAAUUACCAAUGUACCAAAUACUAACUCUUCAAUCUAUUGGUGUAAAAUGAUUUUUAUAUUUAAAAAUCAAAUUAUUAUAUUUAUAUUUAUAUUUAAAUGCCUCAUUUAAUUGGUGCUACCCAUAAAUUAAGCUUGAAUUUAUUUGAGAAAUGACUAAAAAAUAAUAAUUUUUACAAAUUUUAUUAUUAUGAGGAUAUUUAUAAAUUUUCCAUAUUUUAUGUAAAAUUAAUAAAAAUCCACAAUAGGAUUUGAAUGCAACAAUAUAAUUUUUAAAAUUUUAAUUUUACUAUUUCAAUCAAAAUUACUUACAUAAAAUUUUAUUAAACAUAUAUAUUUUUGUCCAGAUCAUGAGUAUGCCUUCAUCUAAUGCUUGUUAAAUGUUUCAAAGAAAAUUAAGCCUAAAAAAAAUAUGAAUAAAGGUUUUUCAAAUUUUAGGUAAAUUAUACCGAUGGUUACAUUAAUGGUUCAAAAUACGAAUAUCUAUAUGAAAUCACUCAUUCUUUAACUUGCUAACGAUGUCAACGUAAGUUGUUAAUUAACUAUUUCUCAAUGUUCUUUGGUGUCACUCAAUUAUUAAUAACUUUUUGUUUUGUUCACUCAACUAUGAAAAAUUAUAAAAUGAUACUAAUGAACUAAUGACAUAGUAAACUAACUCAUAGGCUUUAUAACUAAUUUGUUCCCUAAACUAUAAUUAAAAAAAAUUAAUUUGUUACUUUUAGAAUUUUUUUAAUGACAAAUCCAAAAAAAAUCUAAAAUUAUUAGAAAAUUUAAAAAAAAGCUUGAAGUUUUAUAAUUUGUUUUUCUAAAAUUAUGAAAAAGAAUCUUUAAAAUUAUAAUUAAGAAAAAAAUUCAUAAAAUUCUAAAAAGUUCUAAAAAAAAAAAAGAAAGAAAAGAAAACCUAAAAUUCCAUUGUUCGACUGUAACUUUUCCUUAGCUUCACUAGACGACAAACAAAGCAAAUCUAGGUUCUUUCUUUUUGCUAUCUUUUUUGUUGAGGGUGCUCAUUUCGAAAGCAAGUUAAAGAUGGUGAACAUAAUAAGGCCUCUUUGUAGUUUUCCAUCGUGUUAUUAUUACUAUCAUGUUAAGAAUGUUUGGAAGAAUGCCAUUGAAGGAGGAAGGCACAAAUCAUGCCAAAGAAACUUUUUGGAUAAUUGACUCAAACGCGCUUGUAUUCUUCACAAGUAUUAAGAGAAAGGAGGGAAAAUGAAAACAACAAAAACAAAAACAUAUUUUGCUGAUAUUUAUUUAUCGAUAAUCAUUUUUAAAAACUCGUGUUUGUUUCUUAAUUAAGUGAUUUCAUAUGAUUCAUUUAUCGUAAAGUAUCAAAUAUGAGUUUUUGCUAAAGCACAUCGCUAACAAUCUGACAAAAAUAUUUAUAUUAUAACAUGAAAAUUUGGGUUCUAUCCUUACCUCCCCAACUCCUAUCCUCAAUUAUCAAAGAAAUAAAAAUGCAAAACCCAUCAAGGGAAAUAAUUCUUAUAUAGGGUAAUUGUGGAAACUAUAAGCUGUUGACAAGUUAUUAUUAUUAUAUAUUUUGUUGAAAAUUUAAGUAAUUUUAAAGAGUUGUUAAUUUUUUUUAGAUUUUUUUGGGAUUUGUUUUGGAUUUUCAAUUAAGAAAAUUAAUUGUAUCAAAUUAUUAUUUUAGUUAUAGGUUAGGUAAAAGUGUCAUAGUAGUCCUUAUAAUAUGCAUUGGAUUGUAUUUUAGUCUUUUUAUUGAAAAUUCAACUAACUAGUGUGACGGGACUAGACUUUCAGUCUCACAAUCCAUGCAGUCUUAGGUAGUUUCUUUGACUCAAAUAUGCCUAAGUCAGCCUAGCUCCCACAAGGUAAGGAUUCUCGCAGAAUUCCUCUGAAGCACUAAUUUAUAUAGCAGAAGCAACUCAAGCCAAAAGAAUGCGCAAAAGAACAAUAGCCAUAGAAAAAUAAUGCACGAGAGGUGUUUGAGUAAAUGCUCUCAAAGAAUAAUAUUACUCAAGGAAUUCAAGAUACAAUAGGUGAUUUACAACUAAAGAGGAGGCUUUCUAUUUCUAGUUGAGCUCCCUCAAAUCCAAUGUUUUAGCUAAAUUUACAUCGACGGAUGAGAUGAAGCCUAUCCCUACAAUUAAGAGAUUUACAAGAUUUACACAAUCAAAUUAGAUCUAAUCUUACUAUUACAGGGCUAGAAUUUUAGUCUCACAAUCCGUGUGGCCUUAGGCGAUUCCUUCGACUCAAAUAAGCCUAAGUCAGCCUAACUCCCCCAAAAUGAGGGUUCUCGUAGAAUUCCUCCAAGGCAUCAAUCUAUAUCGUGAAAACAACUCAAGUCAAAAGAUUGCUUAAAAGAAUAGAAUAGCCAUAGAAAAACAAUGCACGAGAGGUUUUUAAGUAAAUGCUCUCAAAGAAUUCUAUUACUUUAAGAAUUCAAGAUACAAUGGAUGAUUUAGAACUGAGAGGGAGGCUCUCUAUUUAUAGUUGAGCUCCCCUGAAUCCAAUAGUCUAGCUAAGUUUACAUCGAUGAACGAGAUGAAACCUAUCCCUACAAUUAAGGGAUUUAUAAGAUUUACACAAUCAAAUUAAAUAAAAUCUUAUUAGAUUUUUAUUUUCCUCAAUCUUCUAAGAUUAGUUCCCCUAUUUAUUAAGGUAGCCUAAUUUCCCAUAUUUGUCUUACUGGGCCACCAAGGCUUCAAGUAGAUAGGCUUCUUCACUUGUUCUUUGAAUCGGGCCAGCUCUCGUGGGUUAAGUAAUCCCCAUCUAAUCAAUAAACCCCAUGGUAUGCAUUUUGUGUAAUCGUCACAAGCUUGCACCUUGGCCUGUGACAUUCUCCCCCGCUCAUUCUCGCAAUGCCCUCGUUGUGCCUUCGGAAUGACACUGAUUUAAUUCGUCUUGGAACUUUCUCGUCGCCUUAACUCUUUCCCGACUAGUCUCACUAUCAAGUAGUCUUGCCCCUUGGAACAUUCACCUCGACUUCUGUCGCCUCUUAACUCAAAUAUUUUCACUCGUCCGUACAUCUCGUUUGCAAGAAGUCGCCAUUCUCACAUGCCCAUAUUGUGACUUGCCUUGAUCAAGAUCCACUUGAUCCACACAACUGGAUUUUCGUAUGCCCACAUUGAACAUUAUGUUAACCUUGAUUUUUCCCAACAACUCCGGUCUGUACACCUCUCCACUUCCCCGCUUCAGAACUCUGAAAGGGUCCCUAUGUUCUCUCCAAGCCAACAAGUCAGAAUGCAAAACACUAUCAAAGUGUUCAAAAUGUACCUUACUCGCAGCAUUUACUCGUCUCAACUGUCCAGUUUGUAUUACCAUUUUACCCUCAAUGUUUGAUGCACAACCCACAUUUCUCCUAGGUGGUAGCUCCAAUGAUAGCUCAGUAGGCUUCAUAUCGAUUUCAUGCCUUACUAGCAUUUCCACAGGUACUUCCUUAGCAAUUCGAUCUACCGAGUCAAUAUUCUUCUCAUACGAAACAUCCUCGAGUAGCUGGAUUACCGACAACACCUUGGUCCUAACCUUCAUAUCUCAAUUCACUAGUAUAACAAUUUGUGACAACGGACCAUCAAUGAUAUGAAUGCAAUCGGAAAAAAGAAAAAGAACCGCCUUAAACCUGUCAAUGAAGUUUAAGCCAAACACAAAAUCGUAAUCAUCUAACUGGAUUACCUUAAAAUCUUCCUUGCCCUUCCAUUCAUCGAUUUGUAGCUCCACUCCUUGAGCUACUCCCACAGUUGGGGCCUAUUUAGAAUUUAUCGUCUUGAUCUUCUUAUUUGAUUUCCUAAUUAAGAGACCAAGUUUGCUAGUAGCUUUUUUUUUUUACAUAAAUAAGUCUGAUGCUCUCGUAUCAAUAAGAGGACUCCUCUUCUAGCUUGCAAUGUUGAUGUCCACAAACAUCAACCCUACCUACUUAUUACUCCUUUUGCAGGCACGAGUACCAUUGAAUUAAGCUUUAAUGCUUUCUUCUCAUCGAGCUUCGCUUUCUUUCCCUCACUGAUUGCGGAUUGCUUGGAUCGUUCUGGAUAGUCCCGCAACUUAUGUGGCCCAUAACACAAGAAGCACUUCACUGGCUUCUUAUCGCUCUCAUUAGCCCUCUUGGCUUCUAAUCUACUUGCAAUCGAACUAAGCUUCAUGGGCGCUUCUUUCAGUUCAUCAUCCCUUCUAAUAACCGAAAACACUAAUUUCUUUAGAAAAUUCUACACCAUAUGUGGUCAUCGACAAAGGAAGCAUUUUAUCUUGUUCUCCUUGUCUUUCGGUUGUUGGGUCUUCGCUUCCCAUUUUGUACUUUCCCAUUGACACUAUUAUCGUCGUUAUACCCCUCUUUAUCUUUCUUAUGGUCUCCCUUACCAUUGCCCUUCCCAUUGGGUUUGGAAGACUCGAACUUAUCUUUCCUCGGACCAAGCUCUAUAAAGGAUUCUAUCUCAGCCAUGGCUACAGUAAGCUUGGUGAUACCUUGCCGAUGCAACUAAUGUUUUGCCCACGACUUCAACCCAUCUCCGAACCAAUAGAAUGGUUCUUUCUCACUCAAGUUAGAGAUUUGAAGCAUCAGCUUACUGAACGUCCGAACAUACUCCUGAACAGUGUCUUGUUGAGUAAGACGAUGCAACUUGGCCUGAGCCUCCUUCUUUGCAUACUGUGGGUAAAACUGUUUCUUCAACUUUAUUUGGAACUUCUCCUAAGUCUCAAUCGUGUUCCCACCACGCUUCUCAUCCAUGGACCUAGGACGCCACCACAAGAGAGUAACAUUAGUAAAAUAAAUUGAAGUAGUGUUUACCUUAAUAACAUCAUCCUCGAUCUCCCACAAGAAGUUGUCCACUUCCCUUACGGACCUGCAACCUUAAACUUCUUUGGUUUAGGAACAUCCAUUGCUAUUGCUUUUGCUUCGAAGCUAACAUCCCAUUACUCAAAGCAUCCUUACAAAUCAUAAGCUCCCUCUUAAGCUUCGCGAUCUCCUCUUUAAAGUUUGACACCAUAGCCUCAAGAGCAUCAUCUCUUCUCAUCAGCUUAAUCGGUAAUGGAAUUGGGCACCCUUUUCAUCUUUUCCACAUUGGAACCAAUGGACUCCAACACAAAAUCUUUGAGCUGCUCCUCCAUUGAGUCAAACUCACCUGUGCGUCCUUUGACAAACUCGAAUGUCUCCCUCAUGUCCCCUAUAAACUCAUCGAGAUUGACCACUCGUCCUUCUAAAGUUGACAACAUAUCCCUCGAACAACUUACUUUUUUUUUUGCUUCUCACAGGUCUCUAUUGCUUCAUUCUAAUCAACAACUUCUUUCGACAUUUUGAACAGUGCCUUCACAACCUUAGCCCUGAUCCCAACUAUUACAAGGCUAGAACUUUAGUCUCGCUAUCCAUGUAGCCUUAGGCGAUUUCUUCGACUCAAAUAUGCCUAAGUUAGCCUAACUCCCACAAAAUAAGGAUUUUCGCAGAUUUCCUCCAAGUCACCAAUUUAUAUAACGGAAACAACUCGAGUCAAAAGAUUGCUCAAAAGAACAAAAUAGCCACAAAAAAGUAAUGCACGAGAGGUGUUUGAGUAAGUGCUCUCAAAGAAUUCUAGUACUCUAAAAAUUUAGGAUAUAAUGGAUGAUUUACAACCGAUGGGGAGGCUCUCUAUUUAUAGUUGUGCUUUCCUAAAUCCAACGGUCUAGCUAAAUUUACAUCGACAGACGAGAUGAAGCCUAUCCCUACAAUUAAGGGAUUUACAAGAUUUACACAAUCAAAUCUAAUCUAAUCUUAUCAGAUUUUAUUCUCCUCUAUUUUCUAAUAUUAGUCUCCCUAUUUACCAAGGUAGCCUAAUUUCCCAUGUUUGUCUCACUAGGCUACGAAGGCUCCAAGUAGAUAGGCUUCGUCACUUGUUCUUCAAAUCGGGCCAACUCUUGUGGGUCAAAUGAUCCUCAUUUAAUCGAUAGACCCCCAUGGGACGCAUUUUGUGCAAUGGUCACGAGCUUUGCACCUUGGCCUGUGACACUAGUCUCUACACGUUGGAUGAAUGUGCAAAAUAGUUUAUCUGUUAAAUAUGUGUUGCUAAAUGCUUAUUUUAGAGUUUUAUAUAAAGCAUAAUAAUAAAUUUAACCCUCGAUAUUUACACAUUUAUUCAAAUUAGCUUAUAUUCUUUUAUUUGGAAUAAAUUGAUCCUCAACCUUUUACUGUUGAUGUGACAUUAUUUUAUUUUAUAUGCCAAGUCAAUAAAUAAUUUAAAAUUUUUUGAAAUUUCAAAGUUUCAAAAAUUAUAAUUUCAAAAAUUUUGAAAAAAAAAAGAGUAUUCAAAAAUUUAAAAAUAAAACCUAAAAAUAAAAUAAAAAUAAAAAAAUUACAAAAGUUGAAACAAUAAUACAAGAAAAAUUAUAUUUAUUAAGGGUAAACUACUCAUGUAGUCACCCAACUCUUGGUAAGUUUCUUUUUUGGUCAUCCAACUAUGAAAAGUUACAAACAAUCACCUAACUUUUCAAUUUUUUCUUUUUUUUUUGGGUCAUAAGUGAUGGAAAGAUGACGUGGUAGCUUUUAAAAUUGACAUAAUAACCCUUAACAUUUAUACAUUGUGUUAGUUUAGUCUUGAUUCUAAAAAAAAUUAACCCUCAACAUUUACACAUUGUACAAUUUGGUCUUUUUUUUUCAACUUUGCUUUUUUAUGACCCUUUGACCUAGAAAGCUAAAAGAAACAAAUCUAUAAACUAAGUUUGAUCGAAAAUAUACCAAAAAUGAAAACACUCAAGAUAAUAUUUGUCAUCUUUUCUCAUUCUUUUAAAAUCAACCCUCAAUGUCACAAAUAAAAGUAAAAUUGCAAAAAAUGACCAAAUUGCACAAUGUGUAAAUGUUGAGGGUUAAUUUUUUUUGAAUCAAGACUAAAUUGAUACAAUAUAUAAAUGUUGAGGGUUACAGUUGCUAUUAUAUCAAUUUUGAAAGCUGUCAAGUUAUCUUUCUGUUAGUAAUUUCAUGGCUGGUGACCAAAAAAAGAAAAAUUCAAAUAACUAGGUGACCAGAAAUGAAAAAAUUGAAUAAUUGAAAGACCAUUUUAUAAAUUUUCAUAAUUGACUGAUAAAAAAUAUAAUAAUAAUUAGAUAAUCACUAAUGCAAUUUAUUUUUUAAAUACAUGACAAGUUGGCACCCCCAAUGUUGGUUUUAUCAUUCCAUUUUCUUACCUUUUGCGAUCUUGGCACUAGGGGUGAGCAAAAUCCGAUUGGAUUCGGAAAAUACUCGAUAAAAAAUUUAAAUUUUAAAUUAAAUAGUUUGAGUUAUUUGAGUUAAUCAAGUUAUUCGGAUCAACUUGAAUAAAAAAAUUAAGUUUUUCAGUUUAACUCAAAUCUGAAUUACAUAAUUCGAGUUAUCCGAAAAUCCGAAUAAAAAAAGGCAAAACUACGCUGUUUUGAUAAAUGUUUACUUUUUUAAAAGUUAAAAGUUAAAAUCAUUAAGUUAAAAGGCAAAAUUAUGUCAUUUUGAUAAUGUUUACCCAUUAAGUUAAAAAGCAAAAUCAUUAUAUUGUUUAUGUAGCCAAAUAAUCUUGUACUUCGUCUAGUAGUUAAAAAAUCGGUCCAUUAAAUGCAACAUUGAGUAUAAAUAAUAGGAUUCAUUAACUCGACUUCACUUGAAAUUUUUUGACUCGAUUUGAUUCGAUUCGAAAAAAAUUCAAAUUGAGUUCAAUUGCUAAAAUAAGAUUCAUCAACUCAACUAACUCAAAAUUUUUUAACUCAAUUCGACCAGACUCGACUCAAUCGAAUAUUAACCUACAAACAAGAUGAAAGAGUGUUUCCCUGCAGAAAAAUCCAAAUCCAAUAGGCGCAUCCAGUCGCAUCAAUAUUCGAGAUCUUAAUCAACUUAAAAAUCUCUCUCUCUCUCUCUCUCAUUUUUAAAGGAAUUUUCAAAUGAAAUUUAUCCACUUCAAGAUAAAGGCAAAAGGAAAUCAUGAUCAUAUUGCAAGAAUUAAAUGAAGAUAAAACGUAACAUUUACGAUUAGCUAAUAUAAUAUUUGAUAUAUGAAUUUAAUUCUUUUCCUUAAUUUAAUAUUUAAAUUUUUUAUUUAAUUUAGUAUAUAAAUUUGAUUAUUUUUUAAUUUGAUACUUACACUUUUUUUUGUCUAAUGUGGUACCUAUACUCAUCAAAUCUUAUAUAAAUUAUUCAAAUACUAAUAAUGUUGUUUUUAUGAGGUAAUAAAAAUAAUCAAUAUAUGAUCGACGUGUAAUAUAUGACAUUAUUUUUUUGUAUUUUAAAUGUUCAAUUUCUUUUUGUCUAAUUUGAUUUGAUUUAAUUUUUAAUUUAGCAUAAUAAAUUUCUUUUAUUUAAGGCUUUAGAACUCUUAUUUUCUUCUUCAAUAUCUAUUCGCUAAGCAUAGCUCAAAUCAUAAUUUUUUAACACAAAUUUUCUCUAAUACUGAUGAUAUUUUUGUAAAAUUAAGAGCUUUGUGACGCCAAGCCAUACUUUAAGUAUGUGUUCCUUCUUGAACCGUUCCUACCAUUAACAAUGAAAGUAAUCUCAAUCCCAAUUAAAUGUAAAAUUCGAUCAUAUUAUUUAGUGAAACAAAGAAAGCUCCAAAUGAAUCUAAUCAUUUUGCCAUUGAAUUCCAUGUUACCUAUCAUAUGUCGGUCUUACAUUAGUUAUUUUUGUCCCCUCAUAAAAAAACUAACACUGUCAAUAUUGUGUUUCGAGUAAUUUGAAUAAAAUUUGACAAGUUUAGGUGCCAAAUUAGGUAAAAAAAUAGAUACCAAAUUAGAAAAAAAAUGUUAAAUCAUGUACCAAAUUAGAUAAAAAAAAGCUUAGUUACCAAAUUUAUGUAUUAAGAAAAAAAUGUCAUGUCAACAAUGAAAGGUUGAGGGCCCAUUUACUUCAAAUAAAAGAGUAGAGACUAAAUUGAAAAAAUGUGUAAAAAUUGAGGCUAAAUUUGUUAUUAUGCCAUAUAUAAAAAAUGAUAAAAUAAGUAUUUAACGGCAUAAUUUUAAUGGAUGAACUAUUUUACUCUUCUAUUUAACGUGCAACUCCAAUUGAUCUAUUUUUAGUAGAAAAAUCAAAAUGCAAUCAUGGAUAUAGUACAAGGACUGUCAUAGUAAUUUUACUUAUAGUUCAAAAAUCAAUUUAGCUGUUAAGUUUAAAAAUUAAUAUGCCACGUCAUCAGUUCAUUAAUAAAUUAAUAAACGAGUGACCAAAACAUUACAAGUCUAUAACAAUAGUGAUCAUUUUUUAAAUUCUCAUAGUUGGUAUUGAGGAAUAAUUACUUAGCCCCCAUGUUGAGGUGUAUUAACAAGUUAAUGGAGAAGUGCCUUAAAUAAUCAACUUUAAAUAAUUAAAUGUUUAAAUCAUAAUAUUUAUAAUUAAAUGACGAAAGUGUAUAUUUACUAAUAAUGGAGUUAACUUAUCUUCCUUUGAAAAUUUUAAUUUCUUUUUUGAUUCCAUAUAUCAAAACAUGCUUCCAAUUGAUUGUGUCAGCUUUGUUGUUCAUGUUGAGGGUUGUUUUCUUCCUUCAUUAAUGCUAGGUCUUACCAACUUUUUUUAAAAAAAAUAUCUUUUAAAAGUAAACCCAAAAGAUAAAAAAGGAAAAGGUUAUUUUUAGGCAAGCAUUACAAAAUGGGUUGAAAUGGAAGCACAAAGUUGCACAUUUUCUUCCAUCCAUUUGAAUCAAUUGGUUGAAUUCAACUUAAUUAAUGCCAAUAUCCCAUCUCUUCAUUUCAACAAAAGGAAAUAUAUAUUGUUGAAUAAAUUAAAAUAUUAAAAAAUUAAUAUGUUUGUUGAGGGAUUAAUUUUUUCGAGAAAAGUUUUCAAAAUAUCAUCUGUCGGGUAGUCGAUUGAGUCCCAACAAUGUUAAGGUAUAUCUCUCAAUAGGGGUUUUGCCCUCAUACUUUGUCAAGGGUCAACAUGCCUGAAGAGGUUGCCUAAAGAGGCUUGAUUUACAAAGCCGAGAACACCUCAAUUGGUGGAGAUAUGACUUAUAAGGCUCAAAUGAAACAUGUCAAUAUAACACAUAUACUUGCAAGUAUGGUCCCUCAGUGGGGGUUUACAAUGUUGCUUGAAGAGGCCUAGUUCGGGGUGUUCAAACUUCAAUUAAAACCGAAUUAACCAACCAAACCGAUCUAAUUUAGUUAAUCGAUUGGUGGUAAAACUUAGUUCGGUCAGAGGUUGGUUAAUGGUUUAUUGGAAUUUCGGUUAUCGGUUAAUUACGUUCGAAAUCGGGUAAUUAAUUGACUUAAAUCAUUAAUAUUAUGUGUUAAUUAUGUGUUAAUUUCAAGACUUAUGUAGUGUUUCAAGACAUAAAAUUUCGAUUAAUUCUAUUAACUUUCAAGAUAAAAACAUAUAUUUCGGUUAAUUUCAAUGUGUUUUUUUGAUAUGUUUUAUACUUGUUUUAACCAAAAGACAAAAACAUAUGAAUUUUGGUUAAUUCAGUUAACCGAAAUAUUUCAGCUCGGUUAACGGUUAAUGGAUUAUACAAUUUGGUUAAUUUGGUUAAUGCUAGUUCAGUUCGGUUAUUUACCGAACCGACCGCUUGAACACCCCUAGGCCUAGUUCAUAAACCGGAAGCACCUUAAUCGGCGGAGAUACGACUUGUAAGGCUCAAGAGAAAUGUGUCAAUAUAGUGCGUAACAACAAUUAUGGAAGUCACUUGUGUGCAGGGAGACUAAAACUACCAAACCUAAGGCAUAUAAGCAAUAUACUUGAAAUUAUAGUACCACUCGAGUUACAUCUUCAUGCAACCUCUUAAGAAACUUUAACUCUCGACAGGAUACAAGGGAUAAAACCCAGCCACAAGGACAAUACUUUAACAUUGUUGAGUGUUUGAUUAGCUGCCUAAUGAAUGAUACUUUAAAAUUUUCUAUUCUUUAUUUAAAAAAAAAAAGAAACUUAAAUAAGCAUCUACUCUUUUAUUUUCAUCCUUGAAAGUAUUAAUUUUAACUACCAAUAAAAAUACUUUUAAAUAUUCAAAUUCCCAACAUUUUGAAAUAUUAAACUAAUAAUAUUUGUCUAUUUAUUUAUAUAUGUAUUAUUAGAUUAUUUUUAAGAUAUUUUCAUAUUAAAAUCUAUCCUAUUUUUAUUUCACUUUACGACUCCAAAAUUUUGAAGUAGAAUAAAAAUGAAACUACCAUUAUGGGAUCUCAAUUUCUGAUUACGGCCCAAAAAGUAAAACAUAUAAUGAAACAAUUGUAAAAUACAUUGAGAUUGAAAAACAAGUGCAAAACAUUAUUUUAUAUACAAUAUUGAGUUGAAGAUAGGAAUCCCAAACUUAUGCUAUUUAAUAAGAAAUUUAACUAUCACUCCAUAUAAAUUAAGAUAAAUUUAUUUUUUUUAAAGAUAUAUAUCGAGUAUAUUUAAUUUUUGUGAAUAAAAUAUCUUAUUAAUUAAAAAAGAAAUAUAAGGUUUAUUUGAAAUGAAUGUACUAAUUUAGAGAUAUUUUUUUUAGUUUUUUACAUAAAAAUUGUAAUUUUUAUUAUUUAUUAAAUUAUCUUUUUAUAAAAUGUAUUUUGCAAAAAAAAAAAGUUUUUAAAGGCUAUCUGGACACUUAUGAGUGUUAAUUAGUGUUAAAUUUUUGCAAUCUAAGUUUUUUUUUUGCGCCUAAUGGAAUUAAGGGAAUGAUUAUUGAAAUAUUAAAAGUAUUUCGAUACCUAUGAGUGAUGAUUUUCCAAUAAAUUACUUAAAAUUUGAACUGUAACAAUAAAAUUUAAUUUUAUAAAGGUUUGGAUAAUAUUUAAAUGAAAUUUGAUAUCUAUGAAUGUAGAGUUUAGUUUUAAAAAUUAAAAAUACCUAUGUAACUGUAUAUUUGAAGAUUGAGAGGGUUAUUUAAAUGGAGUGAGUGUUGAGUUUUAUGAAAUCCUGGUUAGGUAAUUUAAUUGACUGGAUAAUUGAUUUAGUAUAAGGAUUACAUUGUAAAGGUAGUAAAAGUUGAUUCUUAUGGAUUUCUAUUUACUAAUUAUAAUAAAUUAUCGAUUAGGGCCUAGAAUGAUAAUUUAGCCAUUUCCUUUAUAGGUAGUGGUGCAUUAUUUAGAAUCUUUUUAAUUUUAUAUAAUAAUUGGAUUAUAUAUAUAUACUGGGGCAUAGUGGAUGGAGUAGGGAAAAACUCAUUUUCUUUCAUCUUCUUCAUCACCAUCUUUCUUUCUUGUUGAGAUAGGGAAAUUCAGCUAAGUUUGUGCUAUUGCAUGGUGAGCUAAUUUGAGCUUGUUUUAUAUGGAUUUUUUGUUUUUGGGAUCGUUGUACUUCAAUCUAGCUAACAGUUGUGUCUGUUUCUAAAACUGUUAAGGAAUCAUGAGAUUGCCAUUGUUGAAUGCAUGAAAUUAUGGUGUUAAAUGAUUAGGCUAGAGGAAAGGUUAUAAAAAAGGACCACUUUGUAAAAUGAAAAUUUGUUAGUUUUUGAAUAUCAAGACUUAAGUGUAAACAUUUUGAAACCAGUUUGAGAUUUCUAUAAACGUUGCUAUAAUAGGGCUCGACUAUAUAAUGUGUGAGGUUUAAAGGAAUUGUGAGUGACUGAAUUGAAUUGACUCAUAUGCAUACUAAGCUGAGGAAUGAUAUUUGGUUGAUUGCAAAUUUAAUCGUUCAAGUAAUCGGUGGUAACAUUCCGUAGCUUGGGUUCGGCAAUUGGAUAGGGUAAGGGGUGUUACAAUACCAUCCUACAUAUAAGUGUUUUUUAAUUCUACUUCUCAAUUUUUCUCCAUUAUGGCUAUCCCUUUAUUGAGAUCCGAAGAAGGACGCUUGGGUCAUAAUGCAACAACAAUGGAGUGUUCUCUAGUAGCACUAAUUGAAAGUAAUAUGGAAAUUAAUCCGCUUAACAACAUAAUCACUCCUCACUUAAGAUACGCUAGUUUCUAUCAUGCUAGCUAAUUAGGAAAUUUACUUUUGUUUCAUCCUUCAUCUUUUCUCUAGUUAAAUGAUGGAGAUUAGAGAUCCAUAAUUUUCAUCUUCCAUUCAACAAAGGGAUAAAUAACGCUAGAAGAUAUAGCAUUACUAACAGGCCUUUUAAUGGAUGGGCAUCUAGUACCGGUAAAUUCUAAGUUUAAUCUAGCACAUAUUAUUGUUGCAUCAUUUGAAACAAGUACCAACUAUGUUCGACUAGUUAAACUAACAAUUCAAGCGUCUCUUACAAAAUGACACACUUGAAGAUAUUCAACAUAAUGUUAGAGUUUAUAUACUUUAGUUGAUAGGAGGUGUCCUGAUGCCAAAAAGGUCCAGCAACUUAGUUCAUACAAUGUAUCUCCCAUUGUUAAAUAAGUUUGAAAUUGAUGGAACAUACAAUUAGGGGUUUGCAAUUUUAGCAUGCCUAUAUCGGGCAUCAUGUAAGGCAUGUAGAAUAGUGGAAAUCAAAAUAAAUGGCUACCUUAUUAUUUUGCAAUUGUGGGGGGUGAUAUCAACUUCCAUGGAUAGCACAUUUACCUUUUCAAGAUCAUACCCUCUUGUUAGAAGGUAAAAUUGGUGGUAUAUCUUAUAAAUGCAUUGCAUUAUAAAUGUUUGAUAUCAAUAUUAAUAUUGUAUAUUUAAAAGUGGUCCCAACAUCGCAACCGUAGAACUCAAAGGAGGGAGAAAUCUACGACCUCAUGGUAGAGGUUGAGGUGUAGUCAAAUAUGUUGAAUUUGAGCAAUAAGGCCAAGGUCAAGGAAGGUGUGGUGGUUAAGCCAAAGGUGGAGGUCAAGGUAGAGUCAUUCCUAUUGAAGACGCCAUAGAUCUUAUACUUGUUGAACCUAAGGAAGGUAUUAACUUUGCAUAUUUGAGGUUGAUCUUGGAUUUGCCUAAAUCAUGGAUGAAAAUCUGAUCCACCAACUAGACCAGCAAUGAUUUUUUUUAUUUUUUAUACUUCAAGUAAAUAAUUAUCACAUGUAUAGAUAUUAAGGUUUAGGAUGCAAUAAUUACGGUGAAUGCAAUGAAUAUUAAUUUUUAUAUUUUAAUUAGAUAAAUAUAAACAUUUGAAGAGAGAUGCACCAAUUGGUUUGAUUCAAAUUCAUCCUUUUUUUGGUACAAUUCUAUUAAAUUAUUUUGAUUCAUUUUUACCAUUAUAUAUUACAAGUCCAAUUUAAUUUAAUUUGUACAAUUCAUUUUCAUUCAUUUGAUUUCAGUUUGUGUUUAUGUUGCUAAAACAUUGGAGAAAUAAUGAGUCACAAAGUGGAUUUAAUAUCGUAUGUACAUAAAAUAUCCAAUUGGAGAAAAUUUAUUUAAAAUUUUACAUCACAUUGCAUGUCAACAAAUCUAAUUAGUUAGUAAACAUAACAUUAUGCAAUGAAAAAAAUUAAAACAAUCCAUUCCCUUAUUAAACAGAAAUUAUCUACCCAUCGAUUGAUUCAGGCGACUAAUAUACAUACAACCAUUGAUGUCAAGGGUCAUCCAUACCACCACAGUGACAAAACUCUAGAGUGUAGGUGCACGAAAAGCCUUAACUCAUUUCUCUUAUCCUUUAACAUUUGAUUGCUCAGUGACUUUUUAUGGUCCCAGGAAUAAUGUGCAGCCACCAAAAGUUGAAAUCCUAAAUGUUUACAAGUUAGAUUGUUCAUCUAUCCCAAUUGUCCAAUAUUUAAAAAUAUUUAAAGGCACGUUUGAGAAACAACUUAGCGAUUGGAUUUGAGCGUAAUUGUUUGUAAUUACACACUUGCAACAUGUUUGAGUAACCAUUGUUAUUAGUGGGUCAUAUUGAAUUAGGUGUAAUUGGAGCAUCCAAUUACGCAUUUCAAUUCUUAGGGGAAGGGUGAGAAUUAGAGUAGUUACACAAAUAAUUGCUAAUAACUACACUCAAAUCCAAUUACCAUAUGUCUUUCCAAACAUGUUUGUACAUUAUUUGAGUUUAAAAUGUUGUUUUUAUACAAUAAUAAUAGUAUUUUAUUUUUAAAUAUAUUUAAAAAAUUAUAAUUAUAUGUUAUUUUUCCAAAUUUUUAAAUAAUUUAAAACUUUUAUUGAUGAUAGAUAAAUUCUUAUAUGUUUUGACCUAUUAAAUAAUUAACUACAUUACAUAGUAUUUAUUAUAUAUUAUUGCUAAAUUUAACUAAAUUAGGUAGUAUUUACUAUUAAUUAUUUUUACUUGAUUAAUGAUCAAUCGAUGAUAACAAUGGGUAAAUGUUUAAUAUUCGAGAGAGAAUAACUUAACAAUAUGGAAUGCUAGAGUAAUUAGAUAAAAUUGCUUAUGAUGUUUAUCUUUCUUGUUAAUUUUAUUAGUAAAUGUAUUAUCAAAUACAAUUUUGAGACUAUCGUAUUGUAUACGAUGUUUUGAUUUUAGGCUUUGUAAUGACAAGAGUGUGUAAUUAUUACCCUAAUAAGUAUAAUUUUAUUCGUUUAUUCUUUGGUGUCUAAACUAUGGAUGGCAAAAUUUGAAUCACUCAAUGAUUUCGAAUUGAUCUGCUUCAAAUAGAAUAAAUUUUUUUUUUGAAAAGUGGAUGUGGGAUUGGACGGGUGGAUUUGUUCUUUUGGAUAGUGGGUGUGGAGCAAUUAUAUUAUUUGCUUACCUCACUAUAUAAAACUAUCAUUUUGUCCUUAUAUAUAUAACUAUUAAAGGAUAAAAAUGUAAUAAUGUAUUAUAGAAAAAAUUCAUCAAUUUUACGUUUAAAUAUUUUCUAAGAUUUAUAUUUAAAUAUUUACUUAACUUUAAAAAUAUUGAAUAUAUUAAAGAUAAGUAACAAAAAUUAAAUUGGAGCGAACUAAGGUGGGGUAAGGCCAGGAUGGAUGCAUCUAACAUCCAUGAAAGUGGUAAUGAUUUUCAAAAUUAAACAUCCACAGUGGAGCAAAGUGAAUGGUGGAACAAAAGCGGUGAUAUAUUUAAACCACGUUUGAUUGGGGGAAUAGGGAUUUGGUUCAGGGCUUAUUCAAAUUUAAGCAAUAUUUGCUUUAUUUGGUUCAAUUUUUAUUGUCGAAUCUCAUUUCACGCGGGCCUCUAUUACGGGUGAGCAUUGAAUACCCAUUCAAUAGAUAGGGCUCUGAAUUGGCUAUUCUUUGUCGUCCGUAAUAGUCUUCUACUUUUGAAGGUAAAAAUCUCCUUUCAUUUGCCUUUUUCAUUUUCUUUGGAUGCUCAUGUUACGGUGAGUAAUAAAGUUGGAGACAAAAUCUAUCACCAUUAUCGAGUAAUUUGCUCUUGAUUUUCUUUGUAUUUCAUAUUUUUUGUUUGAAUCUUAGACUACCUUGCUUUAGUUGAUUGAAUUCUCUACCUUUUGCUAUUUUUUUAUAUUCUAUUGUAGAACUUUUCCAUGAAAUUCACACCUUAAAGGCUCAUUUGGAAGGUGAAAAAUAUGAUUUCAAAGUUACUGCAUUGGUGCACUUGUUUCCAUAUUUGUUUUUGUUUUUGUUGUAGUUUGUAUAUUGAUGUAAAUGUAUAUUGAUGUAAUUUCUAUAGGAUCUAUAUUGUUCUGGUGGUGACACUCAUAACUUUAACUUGGAUGCCUAAGAUAUACCUUAAUAAUUGCCUGCGAUAUUGUCCUAGCUACUCUGCAAGGUUUAUACUGAUUCUUUAUUGAAAAUAAUGGUAUCUUUAUUUCUUCUCUUAUGGGUAUAUUUUGCUUUUAUAGCAAUAAUUCAAUUAAGAACAUAAGCUUGAAUUUUGUGCACUACUAAAUAGCCGGGUCAUAGUUAGUAUAUCUUGUUUCCAUGAACAUCAUAUUGUAAGUUUUAUGUAUUUAUGGUUUAAAUUUAUGCAUCACAUUCUGUUUUGGGAUUAAUUUAUACUAUGAUUUGAAUAUAUGUAACACUUUAAUAUCUUGCAGUAAUGGCUCAUUUGCCUUUAAUAGUACAAAGUGAAAGGCGAAAAGGAAUUGGUCUUGCAUUGACAGUAUGGUUGCAGAUGUUUACAGUUGCGAGUUGGUUCUUAGUUAUGUUGGGUGGCGUCUCUAGCCUACAUACUAAUAAACUAAUGAUUAGAUCAUAUAUUUUAUAUUUUUAUGCACAACGAGAUUAUGUGAAAAAACUUGUACUCGCUAGUGACAAGACUUGUAUUGAACAAGUUAGGAUGAAUAGAGUUACUUUUUUAAAACUAUGUGAGAUGUUACAAACUUUAGGAGGAUUGAAGUCGUCAAAGAACAUGCUUGUUGAUGAGCAAGUGGCAAUGUUCUUGCAUAACAUUUCUCAUCACCUUAAAAACCAAGUUAUCAAACAUCACUUUAAUAGGUUCGUGGAAACAGUUAGUAGAUCAUUUCACAAUGUUUUAAAUGUUGUCAUACACUUACAAGAUGUGUUAUUUAAAAAGGCAAAGCCAAUUACAGCUAAUUCUACAGAUCCAAGGUGGAAAUGGUUCAAGGUAUUAGAGUGGGUUUCAAAUAUAACUUAUACAUAAUUCACUUGAUUAUGAUUUAAAUAUAGUAUCCUAACCCAAUAUUUUUGAACUAUUUUUGUAAAAUUACUUAGGUGCCUUGGAUGGAACUCACAUCAAGAUUAGGGUUCCAAAAGUUGAUAAACCUAGGUAUCAAAUGCAAAAAUGUGACAUAGUAACAAAUAUGUUGGGUUUUGUACACCUGAUGUGCAAUUUGUUUAUGUUCUUCCUGGUUGGGAAGAUUUCGUUGCUGAUGGAUGAGUUCUUCGAGAUGCCAUUAGUAGGAGACAUGAACUAAAAGUUCCUCAUGGUAAAAUGCAUAAUUGGAGGAAUUUGAAUUAAUUUUUAAGAUCAUAUUUCUUUGGGGGAAGUUAUUGAAGAUAAAUAGUUUUUUAUAGGCUGUUAUUAUCUAGUUGAUGCUGGUUACACAAAUUGUGAGAGCUUUCUUACUCCUUUUAGGGGACAAAGAUAUUAUUUAAAUGAAUGGUGUUAGGGUCACCAACCAAGUACUCCAAAAGAAUUUUUCAAUAUGAAACAUGCUUCAGUGUGCAAUGCUAUUGAAAGAUGCUUUGGGUUUUUAAAAUUUAGAUGGGGAAUACUUAAGAGUCCAUCAUUUUAUCCUGUGAGGGUGCACAAUAAAAUCAUUAUUACAUGUCGUUUGCUCCAUAAUUUUAUUCGAACCUAUAUGAGUCUUGAUCCUAUUGAAACGGAGUUGGGAACAUGAUUACCUAGUAAUGUGAUAGAGGACGAUGAACCGAAUAUCGUAAAUAUUCAUCCAUCGGAUGCAUGGGCUACUUGGAGGAUGAAAGUAGCUAAUCAAAUGUUCUAUGAAUGACAAGCAUCUAGAAAUUAGUUAGGUUUAUUAAAACAUAGAAGACUAAUUUGUUUAUGUUAUUUCAUGUAUCUAGUUUAUGAAACCUUGGUGUUGUUUGUAUCGUCUUUAUGUAUUGUACUGGAAAUGUUGAAUUAUAGCUUUAAUUAAAUUGAUGUAUGAACAUUAUGUUUGGAUGUAAAAUAUAAUUCUCAAGCUAUUUAUUACUUCUAAUAUUUUGUUUUUUUUAGUUUAAAAGAUAAUUAAAUUAUUUGUUUCGCUAAUGAUAUUCUAACACAUUAAAUAUGCAUUGCAGUUUAAAAAUAAUAAAGUAGACUAUAUAUUAAUUUUCUAAUAUUAUUUAUUAUUAAUUUAUAUUUGAAUAAUAAUUAUAUUAAGAAUGUUAUUAAAUUAUAUUUAAUAAUAAUCCUAUUAAAAUUUAAUAAAAAUAACAAUAAUCAUCUACUUAAAAUUCUUUCGCUAAAAGUGCUAUGGUCAUUUCAACUUUUUUCAUAUGCCAUUAUAACUUUUAUUUCAUUCAACCAAAUAUAAAAAUAUUAUUACAAUUCUAUUUUAUUUUAUUUAACCAAACAAUUGAAUUACUGACUACAACUCUAUUUCAUUUCAAGAAAUCGAUAAUAUUCAUGGUUACGCUACGUUUCUUUCCUAAUUCAAACACACCCACCAUUUGAUCCUAUGAUGUUAGAAAAGAGAAAUGAUGAUAAUAGAAUUCAUGUUAUUUAAGUAAUAGCUGAGCGUCUAAACUAUUAUUUCAAUUAAGUCUUAACAGAUAUUUUAAAUAAUUUAUAUUUUAAAAACAUAAUAUGAAUAGUUUUAACAAAUUGGAAUUAUCCAUUUGCAAACAAUAAAUGGAUUGUCGUGUAUCUUACGAAAUAAAUCCAAAUCUUAAAUUUUGUAAUUACCAUAAAUGUAACAAAUUACUUUUUAAAUCUUGGGAAGAAACAAAUUUAAAAUAAAAAUUCUAAAAACAACUAACACCGACUAUUAUUAAAUAAAUUUCCAAUAUUCAAUUAAUAUAUUUGGAAAUGAUAUCACAAAAUUACAAAAAAAAAAUCUAGUAAAAUCAUAGAAAUUAAGAUGUUUUUAAAUUUAUUCAUAAAUAAAAAAGAUAACCUUCCAUUAAUUAGUAAAUAAAAUUAAUUAUAUUAUAACAAUUUUAUUUCUUACUCACUCUUAAAAAAAUCUAAUAAAUAAUAAAAACCUACCAAAUAUAAAUAUGUAUAAACUUAUUACAUUCUCCCCAUCUUUUUCUCCCUUGUUCUUUUUGAUGAUAUAAAAAUACUGCAAACACUGCACAAAAAUCUCUCCUCCGUCAUCUUUUGUAAGUUCCUUUUUUCAGUAAAACCCUUUUUAAAUUUUCAUAUCUUUACGUUCUUUUCAAUGUUCUCUUCUUUCUUUUUGUGCUUUAAUUUUUUUUUUGUUUUUUUUUUCUUUUCUCCAGCUUUUGCAUUGAAAACAGUUCAUGGAAGAGAAAACAGUGGCUCUCUCUCCCGACUCUGCUGCUAAUGCUAAUCACCAAACCCAAAACAAGUCAUCAAUGGAUCCACCGGAAGUUCAAGCGAAUGCUUUAGGGCCCGGGGAAGGGUCAGGUUGGACUGCAACCAGUAAAGAAAUCGUUAACAAGAGAGGAAGGGGGAGGCCAAGGAAGUACGAGCAUGGUAUUCCAAUCAUUAAUGGCUCAUUGGAAGCUUUCCCACUACCAACGGCGUCCUAUUGUUCGACAAAAAGACCUCGGGGACGGCCUAAGGGUACUGGCAAGUUUCAGGGUUUGGCUUCUUUUGGUGAGUUGUUGUUGGUAUAAGAAUGAUAUAGUUAAGGCUUAGUUAAUGCUAGACUUUGUAAUUACGUAUCUUUUUAUCAUUAUUUUGCUUUUAUAGCUUUUUGUUUUUGUAACGUUAGAUUCAUGUUUGGCAUGUUAUAAAAGCUUAUGAUUUACAAUAUUGCUGUAUUUUUUUUAUGGAUACUUGAACUUGUUUCAUUAAGGUGAAUAUAUGGACACUGCUGGAGGAAGCUUUACACCUCAUGUACUGCCAGUGUACGAAGGAGAGGUAAUUGUUAUAUAAAAAAAGGAACUUAGUUUCUGAGUUUUCAGUUAAUAUGCCCUUCAAGAAGUUGUUCUAAAUUCUCUGUUGCUGAAGCAGGAUCUUGCUAAUACGAUAGUAUCAUUUUGUGGAAGGGCUUCUCGUUCAGUUUGUGUUCUUACUGCUAGUGGUGCUGUCUCCAGUGUCACCCUAUGUGCGCCUGGUUCUUCUGUUGGUACUCUGACAUAUGAGGUGUAGUCGAUUUGAUCUUUCACAUAUUUUAUUACAUUUCAUGCUAUAUGCAUUCAUACAUAUAUUUAUACAUAAUCCAAAGCAAGAAUUUGCUGUUUCUGAACCGGCAUUCAACAAGAAGGGCUGAAUAGAACACUAAAUUUUACUUAUUAAUGCAGGGACGCUUUGAAAUUCUUACUCUCAGUGGUUCUUCUGUUGUGUCCGGUGAACCGGGGACUCGUCGGAGAACCGGUCUUUUGAGUGUUUCAUUGGCUAAUCCUCAUGGACGAGUUUUUGGUGGAAGUGUUGAAGGUCCACUGAUUGCAGCUGGCCCUGGACCUAUCCAAGUAUGACCCUUUAGUUCUCUUAACCUCAAUGUUUACCCGAGUCUUACGGAUAUAUAGAUAUAGAUAUUCGUGACAGCACUGUUCUUCAUUCACUUGAUCAUGAAUUAUCACUUAAUUAGAUUUACUUCAUUAAGUUUACUUGUAGGUUGAGUUUGUUGGUUUAGCUUAAAAAUGGUGAUUGCAGCACUAUAUCGAUCUUCUGAUUGUACUCAUUUGGUGUUCUCUUUGUGUUAUCAGCUAAUUGUUGCCAGUUUCAAGCAAAACAUUGGUCGGGAAAUCCGAAGGAAGUAUUGUGGAGGAACUUCAGCAUCAGCCAAAAUUUUUGCCAGUUCAGAAAUGGUGAAUGCUCCCAUUAAUCAAGUUUCUGCAAUGGCAGAAGACCAUGAGAAGUGUACUUCACCACCCCCAGUAGCAGUUAUUAUGAAAGCAGAUAGCCUGAAAUCCAAUACCAUUGUAGCUGAAAACAAUAACAUCAACCCCACUUCACUACAAAGUAUUGAUCCAAACAACUUGCAGAAAGCAGAGAAUUUGAUAGCUGAAAACCAUGACUUUAGCUCUCAAAAAAUGGCAGGUUCAAACAACUUGCAGACCUCACCAGUCCAACAGCCCGUAUCUGAUGAAAUGAUGAUUGAUAACUCCGGACACUAAAGAUGUCUGUGAGAUGCAUGCAAAGGAGUAUGAUUAGUGACAUACACAGGCCUUUUUUCCAUGGACUAUGGUUCUUAAUAAACUAAAUUUGGGAAGUAUAUUGUUGUUGUUUAAGUAGCAUGUAGUUUUAUUUAGAUUAACCCACUGGCUGAGGCUUAUUUAGUAAUGAGCUGAGAUCAAACAUCUGGUCCCAACUUUUAUCGACUCUCUCAUGUUGUAUCUCUUAUGCUCAUGGGAUAAAAGAAGGGAUAAUUUUGUGUUGUUGAAUAUUUGAUCUACUAGCAAUUUCCCAUUUCAUCAUCAAUAUAUAACGUGAUGUUUACCGUUGUUACGCCCGUACUGGAUGGGCGACAGUUUUAGCUGCCAUUGGAGGGUCUGUAGGUGGUAAUCUUAUACCAUUGACAAUAGCAAAUGGAAAGCUUGCGGAAUUGGGUAUGGAGGUGGGUUUAUUUAUUUAUUUGCUUUGAAAAUCCAGUGAUUGUGUUGGAACUAAGAACAAAGAUGAAUUAAAAAUGACAGAAGCUUGAGCUUGAAGGCUCGAUGGCUUAAUGAGCAAACAAAUUUAGUUGAGAACUUUGAGCAGACUUAAUUUAGUUGAGCUUGAAGGCUCGAUGAACUGCAAUGAAUCAGUUUCACCUUUUGAGUUUGUUCCAUUUCCCUAACAAAAUGAAACUUAAUAUUGAAGUGCUUUGUUCUCUCAUGGAACAUUGGAUUCUUUGUAAUUGCAACAGCAGAUUGGUUGUCACAUUUAAUCUCUGUUGCUUCCUUUUGGUGAAGAUUCAAGUCUUUCAUGAUAUUUCUUAACCAAAUGGCUUGGUUAACAGCACUAGCAGCCGCUACAUACUCAGCUUCAGCAGUUGAUUGAGCAACAACACUUUUUUUCUUUAAACUCCAACAAAAACUGGCUGAACUAAGAGUAAACAGAUACCCUGAGGUGCUCUUCAUAUCAUCUACUGAUCCAGCCCAAUCACUAUCAGCAUAACCAAGUAAUUUCAUCCUAUCAACCUUGGUAAACAUCGUUCCAAAGCUCAGUGUACCUUUGAUAUAUCUUAGAACUUUUUUGACAGCUUGUAAAUGCUUCAUAUUGUAGCAAUGCAUGAAUCUAGAUAGCAGACUUAUAGCAAACAUAAUGUUUAGUCUAGAGGCAGUCAAAUAAAGCAGACAUCCAAUCAAACUCCUAUAGGUUGAUUCACAAACCUUCUCGAAAUCACCUUGGCUCGACAACUUCUCUCCAACAGCAACUGGUGUGCUUGUUGCCUUGCAGUUCAACAUGGAGAAUUUGUUCAGAAUCUUCAAGGCAAGUUCUUUCUGACUUAGGAAGAUCCCUUGCUGAGUUUGAGACACUUCCAUGCCAAGGAAGUAAGACAUUUUUCCCAAAUCAAACAUCUCAAACAUUUUCUCCAUUUUGCCUUUGAAAUCAGCGAGCAUUGCAUAAUUUUCUCUUGUCACCAAUAGGUUAUCAACAUACAGGGACACUAUGAGUUGUGUUUCAUUACAUUUCUUCUUCACAUGCAAGGUUGGCUCACUGAUGCUUCUCUCAAACCCCAAGCUAGCUAGGUAGCUAUCUAUUCUGUCAUACUAGGCUCCUAGUGCUUGUUUUAAGCCAUACAAGGCUUUCUUCAGCUUGUAGACACUAUCUUCCUUGCCUGCUACUUUAAAACCUUCAGGCUGUUCAACAUAUAUUUCCUUAUCAAGAAAAUCAUUGAAGAAGGCUGACUUUACAUCGAGUUGAUGUAUCUUCCAUUGCUUCUGUGCAACCAAAGCAACCAACAACCUAAUUGUAUCAAGCCUGACCACUGGUGCAAAUGUUUCAAAGUAGUCAAUGCCAUACUUCUGACUGAAUCCCUUCACUACCAGCAUUGCUUUUAGCUUGUUCAAAGUUCCAUUAACAUUAUGCUUGGCUUAAAACACCUACUUCACUCCUAUGACCUUCCUGUUGGCUGGUCUUGCAACUAGCUUCCAGGUCUGGUUCUUGUCAAUCAUGCUCAUUUCAUCGAGCAUAGCCUGUUUCCAUCCUUGUUGAGCUUUAGCUUCUUCAAAGCAGCUUGGUUCAAUAGCAGCCACUUCAGCCCUUUCAUAUAUCGCACUCAAAGGUCUAGUUCCCCUGACUGGCUCAUUGUCAAUGUCCAUUUCAGAACCAUUUUGAUCAGCUUCAGUUUGAUCCAUCAUUAGAUCUUCAACAACAUAUUAUGGUUCAUUUUUAUCCCAGUUCCAACUUGAUUUCUCAUCAAAGACUACAUCUCUGCUUACAAAAACCCUAUUAGAUGAAGGAUCCAAAAUCCUAUAGCCUUUCUUCACAUUGCUAUAGCCCACCAGGAUGCCAGGUUGAGCCUUAUUGGCCAACUUAUCUCUUUUUACUGUUGGGACAUAUGCAUAGCAUAUGCAUCCAAAGACCGUCAAGUGAGCAACUGAUGGUUUAAACUCAAACCAGGCCUCGAAUGGAGUUUUAUGAACCAAUACCUUGGUUGGUAGUCUGUUUUGAAGAUACACAACAAUGUUAACUGCCUCAGCCCACAAGGUCUUGGGCAAAUUCCUUUCAAACAACAGACAUCUUGCUAUAUCCAUCAAGCUUCUAUUCUUUCUUUCACUAACACCAUUCUGUUGAGGUGUGUAGGAGUUGGUGAGUUGGUGCUUAAUACCUGCUUCAUCACAAAAGCCCUGAAACAUAACUGAGGUAUACUCUGUCCCAUUAUCCGACCUCAAUGUCUUCAAUUUGCAACCUGUUUCUAUUUCUGCUGUAGCCUUGAACUUCCAAAAUACUGAGGCCACUUCUGAUUUGUGCUUUAGGAAGUAAAUUCAACAAUACCUCGAGUAAUCAUCAAUGAACAAAAUAAAUACCUACUGCCAUUCAAGGACAUGGUUUUCAUAAGGCCACACACAUCAGUGUGGACUAGUUACAACUUUUCAGAAGCUAUCCAAGCAUUGUUUGAAGGAAAUGGCGGUCUGACUUGCUUUCCUAGCUGACACACCUCACAAACAUCUUCUUUCUCAACUGAUUUGGAGAAGUUUUCAACCAAGUUUUCUUUGGUUAGCUGAGCCAGUGACUUGUAGUUGACAUGGCCUAGCCUCUUGUGCCAUAGCUUGGAUUCAUCUAAAACAGCUGCGUAGGCACUGUCUGAGCUCUUGUUCCAAUCUACUACAAAGCUUCUAUCAGUCAUGGUCACUGACAUGAGUUUAGAUCCACUUGAAUCACUGAUCAUGCAUUCUUUGCCUUUGAACACUGUUGAAUAUCCCUUUUUUAGCAACUGAGCUAUACUGAGUAGAUUUCUGUUAAUUUCAAGCACAAACAAGACAUUCGAGACAAGUUUGUUACCUGUAGGAGUGUCUAUCAGCACAUAUUCUUUUCCUUCUGCUUUGAUAAAGUGUGCAUUUCCAACUUUCACCCUUGUUUUGAAACUUUUAUCAAUGUUCUUGAAGAUAGAAGCAUUAGGGGUCUUGUGGUUUGUGCAACCACUGUUUAUCAGCCAUCCUUUUGUGGCUUUUUCUUUGACAGCUGAGCAAGAGACUGCAAAUACUUGCUCUUCCUGGUCACUGCCUUUUUCUACCACUUGAGCUUCAGCUCUUGGCUGUUGAGGUUGGUUUUGUCUCAGCUUGCCUUUGUUUCUGCAAACUUUCUCAGCAUGGUCCAUCUUUUUACAGACUUUACACUGCACAUCAGGCCUGAACCAACAGUUUGCUCCUGGAUGACUGAGCCUUUUGCAAUGUGGGCAAUGUGGAUACCUUCUUCUUGCUCCAUCUCUUCUAGGCUUGUCAGACAAGGCCUUCUUCCCUUUGUAGCCAGAGGAGCUCGAGGCAGGUCUGCUCUUGGCUUGGAAGGCACUUUCUUGAUGCUACUCUUGCCUGUUGGCUCUUAUUUGCUCUUGAGCAUAAAGAGCAUUGAUCAGUUUAGUCAAAGAAAUGCUAGUCAGAUCUCUCAAGUCUUCAAGGGAAGAAAUCUUGGCUUCAUAUCUCUCAAGAAAAUUUGAGAUAACCUUCUCUACAAUUAUUUCUUCACUAAACUGGCCCCCAAGCAAUAUGAUGUUGUUCACAACAACCAUGACUCUGUCUGAAUAUUGCUUUACUGUUUCUUCUUCCUUCAUCUUCAAAUUUUCAAAGUCCUUUAUCAAAUUCAAGAGUUGUUGUCGUCUUGUUCUUUCAGUCCCUUAAAACUCCUCCUUGAUUUUAUCCUAGGCCUGUUUUGGAGACUCAUAAGCCAUGAUCCUUGUGAAAAUCACAUCAGACACACUGUUUUGGAUACACGGCAUAGCCUUGUGUCUCUUGGUUCUUUCAUCUGUAUGCUGCUUGAUAUGAGCCACUAUGGCAUUGGCUCUUAGAGGUACUGGUUCAACAUCGGAGUUAACAACCUCCCACAAGUCAAAUGCCUGCAAGUAGGUUUUCAUUUUCAUUACCCAAAUAUGGUAGCCUUCACCAUUGAACACUGGUGGUGGAGCUGGAGAGAAUCCGGAUGAAGACAUGAUUUUUAGACUUGAAGAAUGACAAGUCCACUAAGAAAUAAACUCUUGAUACCAAUUGUUGGAACUAAGAACAAAGAUGAAUGAAAAAUGACAGAAGCUUGAGCUUGAAGGCUCGAUGGCUUGAUGAGCAAACAAGAAAUUCAAUUGAGAACUUUGAGUAGAUUACUUGAGUAAUAAAUCAAAAAAAUGAAGAAGAAUUUUAAAUAAUUUCAUUAACUUUGAAUUGAGGCAUAAUGCCAAUACAUAUACCAGUCAGUAAGCUGGUCAACAUGAAACAAAGUUACCUAAAAAUCUACCUAACUCCACUAAGUAGCAUUGUAACUUGUUAAACAAAACUUACACACUUGGUAAAGCUGAUUUAUCAGCUCAAACAUCAACAAAUUACAUCAAGUACAUUAACAACUUAGUUCUAAUUUAACUAAGUUACAAAAUAUCAUUUGAGAGUAACAAAAUGAAUAGCAGCAUAAACUUCAGCUGCAACUGGUUGGCUCAUGCAGCUUCUUUGCUUCUUGUUUGCAUGUAGGCCAGCUUCAAUAAAUUGCUUUUUCAUUAAUUUUGUAUGAUUAGACUAUGAGAUUUAUCUGUCCUGUAUGAAUACAACAGACUAUUAUUUCUUAUCAAAUGAAAACGAUAAGGAAAUAAAUGAAAGUGAAAUCUUCUGUCUUAUCAAACAUAAACAAGGUGCUAAUCGUUGAUUAGCUUAGUUUUUUCAUUUUAUUAAAAUCAAUUUUUUUGUCCAUUAAAUCCCUUUGAUAUUUUUUGAAAUAAUACGUAAUAUUUCAUUGGCUAAUCCUCAUGGAUGAGUUUUUGGUGGACGAGUUUGAAGCAUGGUGGGUGCUCAGCCUCAAAGACAUACAUUAUUUUAAAAUGUGUUUAAUUGUAGUUGUAGAGACUUUUUAUCCAUAAUUUUUAUUUAAUUUGAUUAUAACAUAUAUAAAUAUUUUAUUUAUUUAUAAACAAUAAAUUAGAAUUGAUUCAAUAAAAAGAAAUAAAAAAAAGUUUUUGGACCAUAUUCCAACCUCAAUGUCCAUGAAACAUAUUAAUGGGCUUGUUUAAGCAACAUUAAAUUUGGGAUAGCCAAUGCCCAUCAAAGUAAUCUAUAUUAGUAUAUCCAAUCCAUCAUCCUUUGGAAACAUCUAGAAAAAAAAGGGCAUUGUGAUUCGACGGUCACAAUCACAUCACACAAACUCCAAUACCAUUAUAAACCCUUCCAUUUCUCUCCCUGGCGUCCAAUAAUCCCCACAUGCACAUACUUUUCCCCUUAAAAUUUAAAAACAAAAGAGAUCCUUUAAGAGACAAAGGAAGAAAGAGAGAGGAAUCAACAAUGGCAGAGCACUUAGCGUCCAUAUUUGGUACGAAAAAGGAUAGAGUGAACUGCCCCUUCUAUUUCAAGAUUAGCACCUGUCGUCAGUCCUACUAUCCUCCUCUCCAAUAUGUACCAGUGCCUUGAUAUGGUCACCCCCGGCAUUGAUGCCUAGGGUAACCCUAUCGACCCCUGUAAGAUCUAAUAGCAUUUCGAGGUAUUUCUCUUUAACUUUUUUUUAAAAAAAAAACCUACGUUUUAGUGAUGUGUUAGGGCUUUACGAUUUAAUCAAAAUUUAGAUUUACUUCUAAUAUCAACAAGCAACUUAGUAUUAGAUGUUGAACUUUAAUGUUAAUUUUUGUAGAGAUUUUAUGAGAAUUUAUUUGAGUAACACUCUUCACUUGAAAUGAACUUAUACAUCUUGAGCAAGAGAUGUCACAUUUGGACACUAAGACUGAUUUAAUUUGAGCAUCAAGUUAGACUUUACUUUAACAUAAAUGAAUCUUUUGAAGUUAUUUAAGUCAUUUUUAGGCUUAUUUUAAAGUUUAGUUACAAACGAAAUCGUUUGAGGUUUAUUCGGGUCAAAACAAGGUAAACAAUGUCAUGUUGCAACAUUGGAAAGUGGUGUCAUGACAAUGAUUGAUGUCAUGAAACUGGAAAUCGAUUACUUAAAUAGAGUCAAUGUCACGACAUUGGGAAAUGGGAGUCACGAGACAUACUGAUGUCGCGACAUCAAAGGCAGAUUACCUGGAACAUGUCUAAAACAUUUAAAACCAAGUUUGAACUAUCAUCAACCAUUCUAUAACACAUCUAAAUAAUUUUAGGACUCAAAAUAUGUCAAAUUAUCAUUUAAAAACUUCAUAUAACACGAGUAUAUCCAUCUAAGGAAGAUUAUCUCAAGAUAUAAAAUUACAUUAAGCAUGCAUGACAUAGUUUUGGAACCUCUUAGUUAUGUUAUAAUAAAAAUUCACAUGGUUCUAAUCCCAUGUACAUGUCACUCUGUUACCAAUAAUUAAACUUCCAUAUACUUUAGUCCUUGUUUGAUGAUAAGAUGAGGAUGAAGAUGGCCACUUCAAAUUUUGCCUUCAAAACGAACUUUACCUACGCAUUCAAAACAAACGCGUUAAGCUUGUGAAAACUUUGUAAGUAAUCAAGAUUUCAUAUCUUACCUUUGAAUCCAAGAAUUAAACCAAAGAUAAAGUACAUAAUAGCAAUAAGGAUAACUAACACACUUUCACUUACCAUACUUCCAUCAUUCACUUAUUUUUAUCAUUAUUAUUUUAUACCACUCACAUUGCCCCUUAUAGACUCGAGUGAACAAGAAGGAUAUAUGGAAUAUAAUCACGAAGUACAUGAGCAUGUAAGUGCUUGAUUAUUAUGAACACUUAUAGUGUUAGAACACAAGCACUGAAAUGCUAAAUUCAUAAGCGCGUUAAGGAACUCUUAAUGGCCUGCCAUCUAUAUCCCAUAAGUAUAUAAGGGUUUUAAUAUUAUUAUAAGUCUAAUAUUUAUCACAAGCACAAUCAAGUUUCAUAAUUUCAUAAUCACACAUAACUUUUUAACAUUUUUCAAUUUAAUUCUUUUGUCUACACACUUAAUCACAUCAACAAUAACCACAAUCAUUUACUACUUUCUUAAAUUAUUCACACAUUCAUUAAGUUACAAGUACUUAAUUCAUGACAAUAGCAUGUUCUUUAAUUCACCAUUUUAAUAAAAUCUAAUUAGGUAAGAAAGAAUUCUAAAGUACUUACAAAUUUUAAUUAGAUUAUACUUCUUUCAAGCUUUGUCCACUUGUUUCCCUUUGUCUACUCUUCUCCCAUCUUUUUCAUUGUCUUUCUCUUCAUUUUACAUCAAUUUCAUAAAAUAUGAUAAAUCAAUACACUUGAUUCAUCACUUUCAUGCUCAAGUAUUUGAAAUAAACAUGAUACUGUUGCUAAAUCAUGAAAAUCUUAUCUUAGAUCUUUAGUUUCUCACAUAGUUUAGAUUCUCUCUUUAAACAUGAACCCACCACUUCUAUUAAAAAAUAUAAGCUUUCUAUGUUGUGGGUAACUUGAUUUAGCUAAGGUUUCUAUACAAAUUUGAUGAUUUCAAGCUUGGAAAGGCCUUUAAUGAUGAUAGAGGACUAGAUUGUAAAAGAAAAAAAAGUUACUUUCUCCCCAUAUUGGUUGUAACAUGUAGGAGAAGAAGAAGAUGAUGAUGGUGAAUCUUCUCCUUCUUUCUUUUAAAAUAUCAUCAUUAUUAUAAUAAUAAAAUAUAAUAAUACUAAUAUCAAUAAUAAUAAAAUAUAAAAUUGUAACUUAUUCAUAAAAAUCUAACCAUCAUCAUUAUUCAUUAUAUCUUGCUAAAAUUGCUCUCCUUAUCUUAACAUAUUUCGUCAUUAAUUUAAUUUAAUCCUUUUUACUUUUCAUUUCUCACUUUGACCCCAACACCUUGUAAAACCUUACAAUUUAGUCUAUAUCCCAGAUUAAUAUUUCUCAAUACAUUAGUCUUUUAAAUUUUCUUUGAUCUCCUACUACCCUCUCCAAUAAAACUUAUAAAUCAAAUUUUAGUUCUUCUGGGAAAUUUGAUUCGUAAUUGCUCAAAUUAAUAUUGUUACGACCUAGAGAUUUUCAAGGAUGUUAUAGGAACUGAGCAAGUACGUUGAAAUUGAGAGUCUGAACUUAUGGGACAACUUGGCUGAUUAUAUGGUAACAUUUUUUUCCUUUGAAGUUGUGUCCUUUUCAUUUUCUUUUCCUUUUUUUUUUUUUUGUAAUUUCAUAUUAUUCUUCAAUUUUGUGGAUAGGAGGAUAAUAUGUAUGUGUAAUUUAGAGAGGAAGAACAUGAUGGAAAUGCGCUUAAGAAUUUUACUGGAAGAUUUUAUGCAGGUUUGACUUCUACUUUUGUAAUACUAUAUGUAUAUAUGUUUUGUUGGGUUAGGAUAUGAAUUACAACACAUUCUAGUGUGGCUAAGGUAGGGUUAGCAGUUUUUGACAGUUUCAGAUGAACACUUAACAAAUAAAUGGUUUUCUACAGUUAAUUAAUUGUGUCAGUGUCCUUGUAACAAAAGCAUCAUGUUUAUUACGAAAGUUAUUGUUAAUUGAUUUAAAUACAGUUAAAUAUGACACAAUUAACUGAUUUAGACAUGAUCUAUUUAAAUUUUAACACCAAUAAUAAGUUGUUUUUAUAUAUCAAUAAUGCAAUAAAUAAGUUUAAAUGGUCUAGAUAGCCAACCUGUUAACACAAUUCAUUAAAAAUGUAAAAACGAGUUGUAUAGUAGUUAGAUAGGUCAACCUGUACGAAAUAUGAAUGAGCCUAAUAGGUUCAACAAAAAAGAAACUUAAACAUUGUACAGUGGUCGGGUUUAGGCUACAUUAUUAUUCUUUUGUAUUAUUUCCUACCUCUUAGUAAUUCUGGUAUUAUAGUAGAUGAUUGUGUUCUUAACAUUAUCUUUUUGGUAGUUCUAAUAAAUGGUUGCCUUGUUAAUUUGCCCUUUUUCUAUUAGGUUCUAUUUUGCUAAUCAUUUCGGAAGUGUAUUUCCACACUUGCUUCUAUCAUUAAAUUGUAUUAUGCUUUUUGAUGCAAGGUAGCGUAUCAUUGUUGACUUCUCACCUGUGACAGGCUUCUGUGAAGCCACCUGCAGGCAGUAUGACGAGAACACUUGUAAUCGUGGUGGAUAUUGUAAUUUUAUGCACCUUUAUAGAAUCAGUCGGUGAGAUGUUUCUCCAAAUCAAAGUUAGUUGUAUAUUCUUAUUGUUUAAUAGGUCUUAUUUAUUCAUUGCAUUCAUCUUCAUUAAGGAGAUAAUACGCUAGUUUUUCGGGAGGUCUAGAAGGAGGCGAAGUCAUAGCCGAAGCAAAAGUAGAAGCUCUCAUAGGUUUCGUACUAGCUGUGAGGAGCACUCUUAUGGUGGACAUGGUCAUAGUAAAAGGUAUGAUGAUAGGGAUAAUUAUCAUGAAGGCCGAAGAAAAAGGAAUAAAGUACAAGUCCUGGCCAUCGGAGAGGACGAAGUAGAAGCCCUAGAGGAAAAAGGAAUCGUAGCUCAAUCCGUAAGGCAGGGAGGAGAAACGUGCUAAGAUUGAGCAAUCGAACUGGGAAAGGGAACAACAAGAAAAUGCUAAAAUUAUUGAUAAAGAUGUUGCCAAUGAUAACAAUGAGAAUCGUAACAAUGGAUAUGUAUAGAAUAAUGAUAAGCACUACCAACAACAGUAGGAGUAGCCUCCGCUUGUGGUAGCACUCUAAUCUAAAUUAAAUCACUCUGUCUGGUUUGUCUCUCAAGCCUUUUAUAAAUAAUUUUCAUGUUCUUAUUGAGUAUAACAACAAAUAUUUCUACCAAGAGUAUGCAUUCAAUAAAUAGCUUACAACUAAUUUUCCACUAUGCAAGUGGUGUGCAAGUUCACAAUUCUUUGAUAUGAACUGAUUUUUUCCCCUUAAGUUCAUGCUUGUUGCAACUGUUGUCAUGGUGUUUGACUGCAUUACUAUUUGAAAAUUUUUAAACACAGUCUUCUUUUGUUCAGUUGUCCUAUAAGUUAUAUUGUUUCCCACACUGUUUUAGCAACUAAUUUUUCUUUACCAUACCAUAUUUUCCCUCACUAUCUAUUUCUUCUCCAUUGCUUUGGUCUUUUCAAAUUUUGUAGAAGAUAUUUAGGGAUGUUGAGAAAUGAGGUUUUAACUUAAUAAACAAAUCAAAAUACAUUUUACUUUGUUUUACUCCUCCUUGAAGAGCAUGUUUAGGCCGUCUUCUCCAUUGCUUUUGUCAUUUCAAAUUUUGUAGAAGAUAUUUAGGAUUGUUGAGAAGUGAGGUUUUAACUUAUUAAGCAAAUCAAAGUAAGUUUUACUCCCCCUAAAUCUCAUGUUCAGGUCUUGAUCUCCUGUGUUCUUGGAAUUUUUUUACUAUUGUUGUUCAUUCCAUUUUUAGUGGGGAAUGCAAGAUCAUAAUGUGUAAAUUUAAGUCAAGUCUUUGGAAAGCAAUCUUGUGCUCUAAAUUUUUAGCUUAACCUUCAGGGCUAGAUAAAUGUAUGCAUUCAUUUAAAGUGUUAUCUCUGUGUGUCUAAUAAUAUUACAGUCGGGUACCUUAUGACAAUUACACCUUCAAAAUAUUGAACGAUCAAAAUAUUCGAAUAUUGUUUAUAAAGUAAGGCUUAAAGAAUAAGCCCUAAAUAAAUAAGGUGCUAGAUAUGAUUAAGUGCUUAAAGUCUAUAUAAUGCACCCAUGGGCAAAGUCUUUGUUAAGGUGAGCUUGGUGGUUUGGCAGGCUCUCUUACAGGGUAUACGCCGCCCUAGCUGAUAGACGUUAAAGUUUAUUCCUUAGCAUUAAGUCUUUAGCUUGAAAGAACUGUUGGUUAUAUUAAUAUUUUACAGUUUUGGUUAAACCUUUUAGUCGGUCUAAAAAGGACUAGUUAGAAUGAGACAAGGUUUUUGAAAUUGAAAAGAUAUGCAUUUAAGAUGAGAGAGAAAGUUAUUAGUCAUGGGCAUCGAAGGAAGGGUAGUGGAUAAAAUAAAACUUCCCCAUUAAGUUUUCCUUUUAUAUGCUCUUAUAUAAAGCCAACAUAUGCUUCCUAAGCAAGUUUAUGCUUUCUUUGGCAAACCUUAAUUUCUCUCCAAAUUUUCUCUGUAUUUUUCCCGAGAAAAAAAAAACUCUAACACUAAGACUUACCUGAAGGAUUGGAUUCAAUGUAUUCAGCUAACUCCUUUGUCAUUAAGUACUUACACAAGAAACUCCUGAAAGCUCCCCAGAUAAGGGAAAGGGUCAUGCUAUCUAAACUUUUCUGCAUCUAUUUGUGAGGUCCUUCUUACUCUAUGUGUGUAUGUGUAUGCUUUCGUUUAUGUAUUGUUUAAGGUAAGCAUACCUAUCUUGUGAAGAUGAAAUGCUUGUGCAAGUGAAGUAGAAGGUGUUGUUAAUGGUCUGUUUUAGGUAUAUUUGUGUGAAAAAUGUAAAGGCUUUUCUUUGUCUCCCCCUUCUCCCCCUGCGUCUGAAAUGAACCAUAUGGUUUGAAAGGAAAAAAAGAAUGGAAUCAUGGCAAUACCUUUAAUUAAAUGUGCAUUAAACUGACAGAUCGUGAUACAUGAAAAUGGUUGUGUAGCCUCUGGUAGGGAAAGUGUUAUUGGAAACCAGAUUGGCAAGGCAUGACAAAGAAAAAGAAACGAAUGAAUGAUAUGAAUCUAAAUAUGGACUAGGGUUCUAGCUAACACAAAGAAGGUUGUCUGUAUGACUGCAUGGGCAUAGUGUACACGCCAAAUCAAUUGCGUCUGGCGUAUUGUUUGUCGGUGUUGGUAUUUGCCAACUAGCGAAUUGUGUGACUAUGCUGAAAUGGAAAGGCUUAUUUGACUUGUCUAGGAUUUUGAAUUGUUUACCUUGAAACUCAGUAAGUUCUUUGAACUUACUUAAUUACUUUUUUUUCUCAAGCCCACUGACGAAGCAAAGGAACCUCUAAAGUCUACGCCAGAAGAUAAAUCACCACCAUGAAAUUUCUAAGUAUUUUUUAUUAUGUAUGGCAUGGGGGUGUUGUCAUGAAGAUGUCUUUUUGAAUAAUGAACUUUGUAUAUUUGAACUUAUGUUUUUGAAACUGUAGAUUUAAAAAGAAUUCAACAAAGUUAUUACGUUUCAUAAUAAGCCUAAAUUUAUAGAACUUCGAUUGAUCAAUGUUUCGCACCUCUUAUCUAUAUAUAUAUAUAUAUAUAUAUAUAUAUAUAUAUAUAUAUAUAUAUGUUCAAAAGUAAUGGUGUAAUAUAAUUUGUGGUUUGCGCCCAACAUACUUUGAAGAAAUAGUAAUUUCAAAGCAGUGACACGUCAUUUCUGAAUCCUCCUUAAGGAUCGGGUUUGAGGCGUAACAGUUUUUAUAAUAUAACUACAAAAAGCAUUUAAAGUUUCAAAAGUUAUUUUCUUAUAAAUUUGGUUUGUCGGAAAUUCUCGGAAGAGUCCAAUUAUCAAAUCUUUUGGUAACAUUUUCAUAAAGUUCUUCUUGUUCAUUUACAAUAUUUUUUGAGGUUUGGUUAGACUCUUAGGAUUGAUUGGAGGUAAAGCUUGCAGAAUAAUUGGUUCUCUCAAGGAAAUGAAAUAUCUCUUUGUUUUCAUAUUCCCUACAGUGGCUUCUACUAUUAGGAUUUUUGGAGUACUAAAAUUGCUUACGGGGAUACUCUAUCAUUAACACGCCUAACCCAUGGUUAACUGGAUUGUGUAUCAAUACUUAACAAUAAUAAUACAUUAAUAAAGAGAUCAAUACUUAACAACAAUAAUAAUAGAUUAAUAAAGAUAGUUAAACCAGAACUUAAAAAUAUUAAAAAUAAAUUUAAAAAUUUUCAAAAUUUAGAAUUACCUGUUCUUCCAGGCAAAAUACCAAUAAAAGCCCAUUUUUUUAAAAAAAUUACUUAAAUGGGCAUGGUAAAAAAUCAAUUACAAGAAUGGCCCAAUUCUCCGAAAACAUGUCCACAUCAGCGCGUUGUCAGGUGACAACGUAGGAAAACACUUUCUUGAAGAAGCGUUUUGCUCGCCCAUGUACAGUAGCAAUGACUACUUUUUGACCGUUGGUGACCUCCCCAACGGUAAAAAAAAAACUAUAAAACCCCCUUUCAUUUUUUCAUACCUAAAUCUUUUCUCUCAAUUUCUCUCCAAUAUUCUCUCAAAUUCCUCUCAAUCUCCUCUUAAAAAAAGCUUUAAUUUUAUUUUUUUGAAUUUUUUUAAAUCAUAAAAAUUUGAUCGUGUUAGCAAUGGCCGGAGAAUUAAUUUGUCUCGAUAACAAGCACAUAUCUGUCGAACAAAUGAAAAUGGUAAGUGUUAAAUUUAAUUUUUAAAUAUUAUUUAAGAUUUUUUUUAUUUAUGCAAUUUUAAAACAUUUUUAUUUUAGUAUUUCUUAUAAAAGUCUGUAGAUCAGAUAUUGCAAUGUUAUAUCCGUAAUAUGCAUGGUCCUCCAUCACCGUUGGUAGAGAAUUACCUGCGGGAAGCGGGUUUUUGGCACGUGGCGACGGUAGGCUGGGGAUGCAAGUUAAACCUGAAACUCAUCAGUGCGUUGAUUGAGAGGUGGAGACCCGAGACGCACACAUUCCAUCUUCCAUGUGGAGAAUGCACUAUAACUUUGGAAGACGUAAAUUUGCAAUUGGGAUUGUCGGUGGACGGGUACGCAGUCACCGGGUCUGUUUAACCUGGUGAUUAGGGAGCGGUAUGCUACGAGCUUUUGGGCGCUAUUACGGACAAUAUUAACGGAGAUCGGAUCAAGAUAGGCUGGUUACGAGACACAUUCCCGGAGCCGAAUGAUGAUUCUACCGAACUAGAAAGAAUUUGAUAUGCUCAGGUAUACAGUCUUCAGAUAAUUGGAGGUUAUCUGAUGCCAGACUUGUCGCGGGACCUUGUACAUCUAAGAUGGCUGCUGAAACUCGUUGAUUUUAGAGCAGCUGGUGAAUUUAGUUGGGGGUCUGCCGUGUUGGCAACAUUGUACCGAGAGAUGUGCGGGGCGACGUGACCAAAUAAAGCAAAAAUCGGAGGUUGCCUAUCACUACUGCAGUCAUGGGCACGGUUUCGCUUUCCAUUUUUACGUCAUCGAAUGGACCACCCAUAUACAUUCUCACCCAUAUACCUCCAGCAUCAAACAUCGACCCACCGAGGUGCAUGUCCCAUCCACUGACAGAGUGUCGUGCAGGGGAUGUGUAUUCCAUGACGCUACCAAACAUGGGUUGUUUCGUAUUUUGUAACCCACUAACCGAGUGUCGAGCAGGGGUUGUGUAUCCCUCUCGAACAACAGUCACAAGUGCAUCAUUUGGCGAUGUAAAUUGUACAUAUAACUCAAUAUAGGGUGAUCCACUAGCGAGAUGAGUCUGCAGCAUUACCUCCAAGCUACGAGCACCUUUUACGUCGAACGAGUCAUAUGUCACCAAAUCAACAGAAGAACAAAACCGAUACGUAAUAGAUAGAACUUUCAUUGGUGUCGUUCCGAAUAUUUUACGCCUAAUUCUUUUACGAAGUUCUGUCAAAUCUAUGUUUUGGUUAAAAACUAGUCGCACUGUAUUUUCUGAUAAAAAAAACAACACCGUUCUCAGUGUGAUGAACCUCACCAUCAUAGUAAAUAACAACACUAAUACGUUCACUCAUCUUCAAUUUCUAUCCUUCUUAGCCUCUCUAAAUUUUUUUUGCUGUGACUUAUGCAAUCUGAGAAAAAAUUUUGCUUCAUUUAUAGCCUUAGGCCAAACAGGAGCUACUAAAGCAAAAGCGCAUCCACGUGGGAGCUUCUUUCAGUACUUUUGCUGACAAAGCAUCCUGCUUAAAGCGUUUUUGACACUAUUUGCUCAAAAACGUCUACUCGCAAUUAUUUUUUCAGGAGCUACUAUAGCAAAAGAGCGUCUACGUAGGAGUUUCUUUUAGUACUUUUGUUGACAAAGCAUCCUGCUUAAAGCGUUUUUGACACUAUUUGCUCAGAAACGUCUACUCGAAAUUAUUUUUUCAAGAGCUACUAUAGCAAAAAAGCGUCCACGUGGGAGCUUUUUUAAAUUAACACUAAACCCUAAUCUGAUUUUUUAAAAAAUUUUAAUUAAUUUACUCAAGUAACCUUAAACCCUAAUUUAAUUAAUUUUUUCUUUAAAAACCAUAAACACGAAACCUAAUUCAAUUUUGAAAAAUUUAUAAUUAAUUUAAUUAAUAAACCCUAAACCUUAAUCCCUUAUUUAUUUAAUUUUUCUUUAAAACCCUAAACCCUAAACUAAAAAUCCAAAACCCUACCUAUAGCAGGAGACAUGGGCAAAACGCGUCCUUGAGGGCGCGCUUUCUGUCCACGUGGACAAAGCACUCCCUUGAGGAAGUGUUUUCCUACCUCGUCACCUGACAACGCGCUGACGCGGACGCGUUUUCGGGGAAACAGGGCCAUUUCGGUAAUUAAUUUUUUACCUAGCCCAUUUCAAUAAUUUUUUUUAAAAAAGAGACUUUUAUUUGUAUUUUACCCUAUUCUUCCACUCAAAUAUAAAAGAGUCCAAAAAAACGGGCCAAACAUUUGUAUCAAUACUCAAAAAAUUAACUGAACAUUUGCAUAAAAAUUUAAGUUUUUAAAACAUAUAAAUAUAUAUUAUAUACAACAAACUAUGGUGUAGUUUAUUCGAAAAUAUUAAAUAUUUUUUGAUAGACAAAAUAUUAAAUAUUUAAAAUAACUGUAACAUGAAUAAAAAUUAUAUUUUUAAAUUAAGCGGCACGUAAGAUAAAAUCAUUGAAAAUAAUAUAUAUAAUAUGAAAAAACAUAAAGUCUUCAAGGUUUUUUUUUACAAGCCAUAUCCCGAAGUUGUGCAGACUACGUUUAAAAUCUUAUUAUAAAAUUUAAAAUAAUACUUUAAAAAUUAAAUAUUAUUUUUAUAAAUUUAAAAUUGAAUCUUAUAAAGAUGUCAUAAAUUUUAUAAUAUUAUUGAAUUAAAUUUUAUUAUUAUAAAUAUAUAAUGUUAUAGUUAUUUGUAAACAAUAUUAUAAUAUUAAAAAUAAUAAUUUUAUAAAAAAUAAAUAAAUGGAUGAUUUGAAAAAUGAAAAAACUUUUGGUCACAUAAGACCAUCUAUCACGUCCAUCAAUAAAUUUAUUUUUAAUUAAAUUAAAAAUGUAAAAAGAAAAAGAAAAGGCAAAAUCUGUUUCACCAAACUGAUUUCUUUCCUUUAACAAAACUUGUAUUAGUUUGGUAAAUAUAGUAGAAAGUAGGCUUAUUGCUACAAUAAGCUUUUAGAUUUUUUUAAAAUAUUCAAUUAAAUAUUUUUAAAUUUUUCAUCCAAUUCAACCCUUAAACUAUUAAUCUUAACAAAAAAGUUCUUUUAACCAACGUUGAUCAUUAAAAACUAACAACAUUAACGUGGUUGUUAAUAGACGUUACAUUAACCAACAAAAUUAAAAAUUAUUUUUAAAAUAAGUACACAAAGAACUUGAACAAAUAGUUGACCUACUGCAUUUAAAUUCGUACAUCAAUGUGUCCAAAUUUAUUGUGGAAUUAUAAAAAAAUUAUAAAAAUGAUUAGAAAUUGAUUAAAAAUCUUAAAAAAUAAAAAAAAGAGAGUAAAGUAUUAUUAAGAAAUCUGAUUUGGAAAUUGUGGUCUAAAUUAAAGGCAAAAAAAGGAAAAGGCCUCAUGUAGUGGUCUAACUAAUCUUUAGCUUAUGUAAACAAAAAGCAAUAAUGCAAACAAAAUGGCUAUCAAAAUCAUUCCAAUCCAAAACACAAGUUAAAAGGACAUGUUGCAUCAUAUCAUUGAUCCAUCGAUCAAUGUCCUGUUUUCUCUUCUAUAUAGCACGGCUUUUUUUUGGUUGAAACAACAAACCUUUCCUUGUUCACCUCCCAAACCACAUGGGAAUUUUCAUUGAUUGGUAUACCUAUAAACAGAGAGUUACAUUAUGUUGCCCAACCAUGGCUCCCACAACCAAAAGUAAAUUCAGUGAAUGAAGUUCCCGUAGUUUCUUUUGGGAUCACAAUUUUUGACUUCUUCUUCAACUUUCUAUUUCAGAAUCAAACAUGUUUCUAGCCACAGAUUAGGAUAUAUGUUUAUAUUUAAUCGCAACAUUGAAACGUAUUAUAUUAAAAUAUGUAUAUAUUUUGAAUACAAAUUAAAUAUGCGAACCCAUAUGCAAAACCUUAUAGGAAUCAAUAUGUGAUCCCUUUGUAUAUUUAUACGAACCCCAUAUGAAUAUCUUGCGAGCCCUAUAUGUUAAUUAUGCAAACCCUACAUAUGCAUAUGCGAACACUACAUAUUGUAAUAUGCGAACCCUGUAUAUUUAUCAUGCGAGCUCUAUACAUGUAUUUAUGCAAACCGUACAAGUAGUAAUAUGCGAACCCUACAUAUUGUAAUAUGUGAACCCUGUUUGUUUAUCAUGCGAGCCCUAUACAUGUAUUUAUGCAAAUCGUACAACUAGUAAUAUGUGAACCCUACAUAUUGUAAUAUGUGAACCCUGUUUGUUUAUCAUGCGAGCCCUAUAUAUGUAUUUAUGUGAACCCUACAAGUAGUAAUAUGCGAACCCCGUAUGUUUAAUUGUGUGAACCCUAACAUGAAUUAGCAUGCGAACCCUGUAUGUGCAAACCCUAGAUGUGCGAACCCUGUAUGUGUGAACCCAACAUGUGCGAACCCUUCUUGUGAACCUGAAUGUAUGUGAUAGCAGAACUAGGCUUGUUAAAUACACAUGAAGAUGCUGUAUAUGUGAAAUUGUUUUAAUCUACAUAAAUUAGUUGUAUAUGUGAAACUGAUGUGAACGAGUGCAUGAAUACAUGCUAUUAAAUGCUAAUAUGAAAUAUUGAAUGUAGCAUCAAUUGAUGAUAAAUAGCAUAAUAUGCUAAGUGUAUGUGCAUAAUACAUAAAAUUAGGUAUGGAGAAUGGAGGAGUUCCGUAGGAGAAAGUAGCAAAUGAAGUCCACAUCGAAAGUCAGUACUGCAUGAAAUAGGUGGCAAUGUCAUCAAAACUGAAUAAAACAGGAUAAUAGCUUAAAAAGCCAUCAAAACAAGGCAACCGAGAUGGUAAGUUAUUGUAGUAAAAGUCAUUGUCAUGACAAGUGAACGCCCGUCUUCACCAGGAAAUCCGAGAUGGUUAGUUAUUGAUAUGUGUUUUGGAGUGUUGAGCAAUGCUCAAGGGCAGAUAGGAUAGACGGGAGGGAAAUUUAAAAUUAUAAUUGCAUUGCAUCAUGAGUAUAAUCGGUACAUGUAUGGAUUUACCGAAUGCUUUUUAUGAUAUGCAUAAUUUGCUAUUAUGCCAUAAAUUGAAUGAUUUACUAUUUGUAUGUUUAUAUAUAAUGGUUUAAAAAUUAGGCUCAUGAUGAGCUGUCAUAAGCUCACUCCCCCUUUCUUUACCUCUUAGGUAACGCGGAGAAUAUUUAGGACCGAAAUGAUAUUGGAGGAACCACGGAUUAGCAACUCUUUUCCUUUAUAUUUAAAAGUUCCCAUUAAAGUUUUUCCUUUAUCAUUUAUUUUCGGGUUGUAAUUAUUAAUUUCUUGCUUUUAGGUUUUGGGUUUGUUUAGCUUUUUAAUUUUAAAACAUGAUACUUAGUUAAUACUAUGAUAAUUGCAUGCUAUUUGGUUUAGAAAACUAUCGUUCUUAAUAAUAUUUUUCACUUCUUUACAAAUACUUUAAGUUUUGAAAAGUUUUUUUUUUUUGUUAACUUUAACCAUUUUCAAAAUGUCACACUAAUAAUAUUGCAAUUGAAUUGCUAAGUAAGUUGAUUUAAUUACUGGAUGUAUUCCUUUAAAACAGAAGAGCAAUUUUCAUACAAUCCAUCUUAAAACAAAAGAAUGGCUUUACAUGAUCAAUUUGGUCAUCAAAUGUAACACUUUUGACUUAGCGGAAAUUCUUAGGCCGGGUCGGGGGUGUUACAUUUUAAAUGUGAAUUUAGUAUUAUGAUGUAAAAUAAAAGGUAUUCUUAUCAGUUCAAAAGUUUUUUCAAACACGUGCUUUUAUAUAUAUUAUAGAUUGGAGACAUAAUAGAAAUGAGAUUAUAGUAUACACAUAAUGUGGGUUAAAAAAUUUAGGUAAAAAAUAUAUAUUAAAAGCUUAGUUAAAAUUAAAUGAAGAUUUGGUUGAGAUAGUAAAAUUGAAGUAUUUAAAUGGUAUGAUGUUAGGUUCAAAUUUUAUUAUGAGUAGGUUUUAUUGAUUAUAAAUAAAAAUACAAAAAGAAAAAAUAUUUUUAUAAUAAUAUAACUUAUUUAUAAUUUUUUUUAAUUAUUUUUCAAUUGAGUUGGAAUUAUUUUGAGUACGGGGAAAGCCUCCAAUCCUUAUCGACAAUGUUCAAGUUGGCAGGCUUCAUCAACUUUAGACUCUCAACCACUGCUUUUAUUACCUUGGAAUUAUAUUUUAUAUUGGAUAUGUUAGUGGGUUUAAAUUGUAUGUCAAUAGAGCCUGAAUAUAAGUGGGGACUCACUUUACUUGUUGGCAGCUGCUCCUAAAGUGAACAGAAAAGGAACCAUCUCAAAGACAAUUAAAUUAGGAAAUAUUCCAGAUCCAGUCUAGAAAAAACUAUACAGAUUUUCCAUUAACUAAUUUAAACAAAUAAACAUCAUUCAACAUGCAAAUUUACCCCAAUUUCGCACGUAUAUCUUGUUCAUAAUCUAAAUACACAACUAUCUUAAUUAUCAUAAUUUUACAAAAAUGAAAUUCGAAAAUGAUGGAAAGCAACAAAAAAUUUACAUUUUUAUUUUAACUAGAAAUUCAUGAAUUUGAGCCAAGGUAUUAUUACGCUCUUUGUAACCUUCUCCGCUUCUUUGGAGCACGACGACGUUGGAUUGUCGCCGUCCUUUGACGCCGCCUUUUUGGUGCACAAGAAGAAAUUUCGCGAUCCCAGCGCCAUCAGCUUCUCUCCCCUUUCUAAACCUGCGCCCCACCACACAGAAAAAAAAUAUUAGGAAUCAAUCUCAAAUGUACACCAGUACUCAAAAAGAUAAACAUCACUGAUUGAACGGCUAGUUAUUCUUUAGCAGAAGGUUUUGUCUUACUCUCUAAGCUAAAUUGAGAAUAAUGGAGGUCCAACAGCGAGGCGUCCGUUGACGGUAAGAUCGGACGGCGACCUUCCUUCGAGUACUGACGAACGGCGGCGGUUAUUAAGUCACCGACAGUGUUUUCCGGCGACAGCACUACUUGUACAGCUCCGAGACUCCCUUGAAUGGUCACGUUCAACAGCAGCUUCGUCAACUUCGGCCUCGCAUCCGGUAAGACGGAAGUAGUCCUCUCUGAGAAUAGGUCGGGCAGCGUCUUCGGCCGCCUCAGAUCAGACGGAGCCACCGUCGGGAAUUUCCCGUGAAACGACGACGCCUUUUCAGAUAACUUACCCUUCCGGUUCUUCUCCUGCUCCUUACGAUUAUUUUUGGAAUUCGGCAUCUUCCAAGUGUCGUAUUAUACAAUAAUUCAAACGAGAAAUAUAAAGAAGAAAAUAAAAAAAAGUAAUAAAUGAACUUCUCUUCUCCGUUUUUUUUUCUUUGUUGGGAAUACGGGUGGAGCGGAGUCGACGAUUACCUCAAGCGCCGGAAACGGAAGAACCUAACGCGAGGGAAACCGAGAGCGGGAGCGGUGCGGUGGCUCUCAGGUUUCCGGUCACUAAAAGCUAUCAUAACCUGAAUGCUAUAUCCGUAAAUAAACAGAGACGGCAAGGGGGCAAAAAGAGAAGCUAAUGAGAAGCGGAUAGGACACAAAGUGGCCUCAAACUAUGGUAGCCAAUUUAUAUGGGAAGGAAAGCGAAGAAAAAGAGUGAGAAACGGCUAUGAAUCUCUGAUUUUUGUUGGGUUACCUGCUACGUCCGGUUGAUGGGAAAUUCCGUCUUCCGCGUGAUAACUGAUAAAAUCAAGUGGUGACCGGCAAUUGCCCGCGGAUACGACAUUUGUAUGGCUUUGCUUGAGCCUUGAGGGUUAACUGGUAAUCUGCAUCGUGCUAAAGUGCGCUGGUGUAGGUUCUUUCGGUGACUACAGCGUACACGUGGAGGGAUUCUGUGGCCUUGGUGGCUCCGAGACUCGCGUGGGUGUUUAGCAUGUCGGGUAACAAUAUCGUUUUCCCUUGCUUUAAGGCGGCUGUUGGUUUACUCGUUUGGAAAUUGGGACUACUCACAAAUGACGUGAUUUGCACGUGCGAAUUAUUGAAGGUUAGUAGAUAUUACGUGGAAGUAUCAUUGACCUAAACUAUUACUGCUUGGAAACGCUUAGCAUAGCAGUAAAAAGGUAAGAUCCAGUGAUCUAAUGGCACGUGGCAAAAGAUUGUUGGAAACUAGCAAUUUUUUAUUUUCAAAAAAACAAUAUAUAUAUUGGCGUCUGUUUGCAAUUAUUGUUUUUGUCUUAUUUAUCUUAAAUGAAAUUAUAGUAUUUAAAAAGUAGAAUUCGAAUUAUAUUUAUUGAGAAUCCUAACAUUUUAAAAAGUAAAUUUAAACUUUAAUUAUUAAGUUAAACUUUAUGUAUUUAGUUUUUAUGUUUAAUUGAAAUUAUCUAUACUUUAAUUGGUUUAUUAGUUGGUUUUAAUCUUUUCAAUUGAAAUGUAUUAAAUUAUUGUUUAUUUAAUCUUUAAAUUGAUUUUUUAAUUAAAAUUAAGAAAUUUAAUUAAUUUUUAAUUCAAACUUUAAUUAUUAAGUUAAAUUUUAUGUAUUUCAUUUUUAUUUUUUAAUUGAAAUUAUCUAUACUUUAAUUGGUUUUAAUCUUUCCAAUUGAAAUGUAUUAAAUUAACUUUUAUUUAAUCUUUAAAUUGAUUUUAUAAUUAAAGUUAAGAAAUCAUGAGAAAUUAUCUAUACUUUAAUUUAUACAUUAAUUGAAUCAUGGGAAAUUAAUAAAUCACUCGUCAUCUUCCAAUCUAGCAUUACGAGAAGAUUGAUCAGGAACAUAGACAUGAUAUGGGCCAGUGAAUUGGUUGUGGCCGGAUGUUCAACAUAUUGUGCACUGUUUAGCGCACGUCUCUCUGACAUCCAUGUCAUUUCGAAUCCUCAUCGAUUGUGGUCGACCUUUAGGAUGUCUACAGAGACUACGGUUCGAUAGCAACUCAAAAGCAAUCGGUGAAACUUCCAAGUUGGAGACAUCCGACAUUAUUGGAAAUUCAUUACCCCAGAUAUGCAAUGUGUGUUGCAGCGUGUAAACCUCGUCUAUGAGUUGUUCGACAUCAAGAUUUGCACGCGUAUAUGCUACAUGAGCAUGCGCACACGGAUAUCAAAAAGUUUGGAACAACUCGUACUCGCAACGUCUAUUUCGCAAAUCAACUGCAUACGACCUAGGCGGAAGACCUGAACGACGACCAACAUGCUCUUAAACCCAGAAAGUCUCCAAGUCACGUGAACACACUUCUACGUUCAUCCUCUACGCCCUAUUCGCGUUGACUUUUAUUACCUUUCAGAUGCCCUCAACAUACACGUGCCCGACAUUUAUCUGUUUUACUUGUCUCAUCCCCAUCGUUGACAUUAAUGUGGCCAAUCUAUAGAAUGUUGCCGAGAAAACAACAGAAAUUGGCAAAUGACAUGUAUGCCUCAAGACCGAGUUAACAGCCUCUGUGAGGUUGGUCGUCAUCUAUCCAUGCUGAAACCCAUCAUUAUAACUUUGACCUCACUACCAGUUCUCCAUACUACCCAACCGCUGACAUAGACAUCGAUUUUCGAGUGAUGAUGACAUCUGAGCUUCAAGCAUCGCGAACCUUUGCUUGAAUCUUCGCGAUUCUAACUCGUACCAUGUAUAUGCAAUUUUGAACAAAUAUUUUAAAACAAUUACACCGUUAUAAAUUUAGAAAAAAAAUUAAAAAUCUUGAAAAAAAUAUAAACAGUUUCAAAAAAUAAAAUAUAAUCAGAUCAAUUUUGGAACAGUAUUUUUUUACCCAUACUCAUAAUUUCUCUGCGCCAUUCUUUAUUCUUAUACUCUCUGUGAAAGUUUGACGUGAUGUGUCGAAUGCAAUAAACGAACUCCGCGGAAACCCCAAAUGCCUUACCGCAACAAAUAGUCCAUUCGAUCCAUCCGAGAUUAGGCAAAUGUUGUCUUGCCUGACAAUGUGCCUCCGCUUAUUUUACAAAAAAGAUUCUCAAGGCUCGAAGUUCUCACUCUCCAUAAUGGCAAAAUGAUAGGAAGUACAUUUCGGUUGUCGUCUUGUGCAACCACAACCAGGAGUAUUUGCGUGUUACCUGUCGUAGAGCCAAGUUCCAUCCACCUGCACCAUCGAUUUGUAGUGAGGGAAAACCCUAGCACACUACUCGAACAUCCAAAACAACCAAUAGAAAACUCAUUUCCCCAGUUCUAUCUCAUUGUCCGGACCUCUAUAUAACAGUGUUUACAAAUCAGUCACCAUCCUCAACACAUACUCCCGCAUCGCGACUACCCACCAUUGAAGUUCGUUGUAUGACACAUCAAAGUCACCAUACAAUUGUUGCAUAACCAUUUGCUUCACCCACCAUGCCUUCCUAUAGGAAACCUUGUACUUGAAUCGAGCUUGUAUGUCCGUAAUAAGCAUAGAUACAAUGAUGGCACCAACAAGAUAAUGCAGUUGCAUAUGGUUUUUGCAUCUAACUUUUGAUGGUUUUGCGACAUACGAGCGAUCGAGCAUGUGUGAGGGCCUUCUAUUCUUCUGAUUGUCUACAUCUGUGUCCGUUGUAUUAAUGUAGCUCGAACACGCCACUUACAGGUACUUAAGGAUUUCCAGCAUUCUCUGACAUAUAAAGACUACGUUGCCUUCGUGACUUUAUAGUCGACAGACAACUUCAACUUCAAGCUAUACUGCUUUAUUGCAUGUAAGCAGUUUUUCUUGCACAGGUGUCGUAUCAAGAUCUACAUCAGUCAUAAAGGCCCCUGGAUUAUUAUGGAUAACUACACCGGAUCCCGUGUUCCCGAUUGAAUGGGGAUAUACAUCUUCACCCUUCACAAGGCCUUUAUUGUCUAUGUCUUUAGGGAUGUCAUCCAAAUUGGGGUCACUCAAAUCUUUACUAUCAGGCCAUUCAUUAUCAGACCCUUUAUUACCGAACCCUUCAUCACCAUCGUCUAUGGUGAGCAACACCUCUAGAUGAAUCUUUAGACGAUGGCUCGAGAUUGAGACAUUAUAAGAACAUCCACCGUAGUUUGGAUUUUCAGGAGUUUGCAAUGACCCCCCACAACCCGACUAAUCUUCCCAGUAGAUGUUAAGAUCAAAAUCAAUUCCAGAACGUUGACUUACUGGAGCUACAACUUGAAUAGGUUCUGGUUGGAAUUAUCCAUCUCAGGGAGGCAAUAUAUUGCUAUCAUUGUCCCUGGAUCAUCAUCAUCUUCAAGCUCUAUUUCCGAAAACUUGAAUGAAUCUGUUGAAAUCAGAAAUUUGUAAAACAAUCUCAACAUUUACUUCCCACAACGGGUAGCUAUCUUUGUAUUGAUCUUCUGUUUCAAAUUCGUCAACAGAACACGCUUGUUAAAUCUCAUUUCGAUUUUCUGCCAACUUUGAAAGACACAACCUUCCUCAGUUGUAUUUAACAUUUCACAAUCAAAAUGAACAUAAACAAACAAAAUUUGGGAACUCAUUUUCAACAAUUUCUACUUCCUCCUCAACAAACAAAACUAAUGUUCUUAGUAUUGAUUUUCAAUUGAUAAAGCAAACAAAAAGCUCAAAUGGUAGACAAAACAACUCUAUAUAUUGAAGGGAUGCCAACCAUCAGUGUCCCAACACCCAAAUUUUUUUCGAUUCUCGAAAUAGCUGAUGCCUGCCAUCUAGUUCCCUAACCCAAAUUUUUUUUAUUUGAUAAGGUGGGUGCCGGCCAUUACUGUGCCAACACCUAAAAAAAUUAUUUUUUUAAUCUGAAAAAGUUGAUGCCAGCCAUCUAGUACCCCCAACCUAAUUUUUUUUAUCUUAUAAAAUGAUGGCCAACACCCCAAAAAAAUUAUUUUUUUAAUAUUAUAAAGUGGUGUCGGCCACUUAUCCCCCAACUAAUUUUUUUUUCAAAUACUAGUAUAAAUGUAUACCAAUAUGGUACUGUAUGAAAAAAAAUACCAAAGUGUCGACCAUUAAGUCCCCCAACCCCAAAAAUUAACUUUUUUUAAAGUCUGACACAAUCAUUAGGCAAUGAUUGGGUUCAAAAUCAAGGUGGUGUCAACUAUUAAGUCCUCCCAACUUCAUUUUACUGUUCAUUUCAAGUUAUUUGGGUGAUUAUUUUUUAAUCUGAGUCAUUUUUAUAAUUAUUAGUUUUUUGAGGUCAUCUUGGUAAAAUAACCAAGAUUUUAGUAUUUAAAAAGUAAAUUUCAUAAUAUAGAAUUGGAAUUAUAUUUAUUGAGAAUCCUAACAUUUUAAAAUUGAAUUUUUUAUCGAUUUAAAUCCAUUCAAUCUAAUCUCCGUUAUCAUUUAAUGUUGAUUUAAUUAUAAAAUAAACAAAUAUUUUUAUAUAUUAUGGUUUUAAAUUAUAAUUGAAUCAACCAAAAUUAAAUUUGAGUAAGAGCCUCAAAAUAUUUCGUCUUCUUUUCGAGGGGUUAGAUGGUUGAUUGAGAGGUAGGUCGAGAUUCUGAUUUGCAUAAUAAAAUAUAAAAUUCUCAGUAACAGCCAGGGAAGGUGACAUAUUCAAUGGCCUUAGCCUGCAACAGAAGACUGAAAGCACCAGACCACUUGAUCAUAAAAGGGCUUGACUGGUGCAGGUGCUUCUCCCUACUCAUCAUCAUAGAUAACCUUAAUUGUAAUGCAAGCAGUGACACAGCAUCAGCCCACCACUCCUUCGGCUUUGUCUUUACUCCUUGCAUGCUCCCGUUUUUUAUUUCACUCUUGCUUUAAUUUGCCACUUACACCCAGAUUUUAAAUAAAAUACCCAUCGACAAUAUUACAUUAUAAAAGAAUAAUGAUUAACCACAUGAAUAAAUUAAUGUAAUAUACAUAGGAAACGACUGUAUUUUUUAAAGAUGAUACAUGAGUAAAUCUCAGAUUUGUUAUGCACCGGAUAGAAAAAUAAUGUAAAUAUUAAAUCAAUUAACCAUGAAGAACAUGAUACAGGAAAAAGAGUUAUGCACAUUUCAUAAUUUAUGUUUUUGAAGAACUAAUCCCUCUUACUUUUCAACCAAAUACAGACGUGAACAAGUGGAAAAGAACAAAUAUUAUAUUAGAAGAGAUAUCCCGCCUCUACGAUUACAAAUUGGAUGAUGGCAUGCCACAACAUUAUCCUCAAUCUUGCGGGAUUUUCAAUGUGUUUUUUUUUAUUAUUAUUUGUUUUGAAAUUUCCACCUUGCCGUGUUUUAACCAAAUUUUAAUCCUUUCAUACGUCUUGGGAUUUUUCAUGUUUACCUCUUUUUGUUGUGGAAAUUAAGUUUUGUUUUGGUUUACUUUAAUUUAAGCCUUACUAAAUUCAAGUUAAAAAGAAAGGAAAGCAAGGGCUUUCUCAUAUUAGGUUACGAAGAAAAUUAUAAAUAUUGUUUUUUUCUCAUAUAUUAAAUACAUGAGUUUAAUUGUGAACAGAGACUUUAAAUCUUUUAAGUUUUAAGUUCAAAUGUCACCAUGUGUAGGUGACAAGUGUGAGUUUCUAUCUCACUUUAUACGUGUGUCAUGUAUGAGUUAUUUCAGAUUUUUUAUUCGCUGUAUUUUGUAUUGAAUUGAUUCUACGUAUUAUUGUAAUUGAUCGAAGGUUGUACACUAUUGUACUAAUAAUGACACUUAGAAAAACAAACAUGAGUUUAAUUUGGGAAAAAAAAAUGCAUGAAUGAGUCAGGAGAUGUAAUUAAUGGAAAUAGAUAAACAAAUUUGGCUUCAAAUACUGUCAUGAAUUUAUGAAUGGUCUAAAUCUUGUUAAUAUGUUUGAUUAAAUUCAAAUUUUAUUAUGUGCAUUUAUAAUGCGUGGAUCUUUGAAUUUUAUUUCAUAUUAUUUAAUUAUUCAUCUGUCACAUAAUAAGAAAUUUAUAUGGCACAGAAAAAAUAAUUAAAAUAAGAUACAAAAAUAAACAUAUAAAUAUAUCAAAAUUUAUAUAACAUAUUAAUAUUUUAUAUUUAUGUCCAAAAAGAAUAUUAAAAUUUCCGCCAGACAAGUAUAUAAAAUAUAAACAAAAUAUAUCAGAGAGAAUAAAAUUAUGUUUAGGCCAAUCAUAGCAGAGAAAACAUGUUUUAUAAUUAAUUUAAGCAAGUUCGUGAUUUAACAUAAAAGCUGUCGAGUAAAAUCCAUAAAUCACCUAUAGUUUUCAUGUGUUUAACAUCUAAUUUAUAAUGAUUUCUAUCCAUCAACAAUAAAUUUAACUAAAUAAAUACAAAUUUAAUUGAAAAUUGGAUGAAUUUGAAAACAUUUUUACGUGUAAUGAAUUUUAAAAAUAAAACUAACUUUUAAUAAAUGAUUUUUUUGGUACACGUAAAUAAUUUCUUUUAGUUGUUAAACAUCUUUUUUUUAGUCGAUUGAGUCUUAAGGUUAGUUUAGUAUUGCUUUUCAAAAAUACUUUGAAGUAAAAGUUAAAAUUUUUUGUUUCUACUUUUAGUUAAAAAAGUGUUUUUGCAAAGUAGCUUUUUGUCUCAAAAACAUCUUGUUUAGUAAUGUGUUUAUCCCAAAAGUACUUCUAAAAAACAAUACUAAACUGACCCUUAGCUUGAUUGGCAUAGAUAUUAUUGUUGCCAAUGCAGGAGGAUGUGAGUUCGAGUGCGUUAAAGCGCAUUAUCUUCCUAUUCAUGAUGUAAUACCCAAUUUUAGCCCGGGCUCACAAAAAAAAACCCAAAGUAAUAUCAUUUGGCCCGAUCGGAAUUGCCCAUUACUUGAAAAGGUUGAAGGUCCAUCUUCAAGCUUAUGGAAACAUAAUCUUCAGGGAUAUGCAAUCUUAGAUAUGAUUGCAAUCUUAGAUAUGAUAUGCAAUCUUAGAAGAUAUGAUUUUGUAAUCUUAGAGAUUUAAUUUGUAGAUACCCUUUAAUCUCAGCCGUUGAUGUAAUUGAUCUGUACCGUUGGAUUUGGGGAGGCUCAACUAUAAAUAGAGGCCUCUCCCUUCAUUAAAAAAAAAGGAGGAAUAAAAAAAGAGAACGAUUGGCAGUUUUUUAAAGGUGGCUUACUUAUUUUUUCUUUUGAUUUUUUUUUUACUUAUUUACGAUUUUAAAAAAAGGGAGAAGGUGAGACCACUGCGAAUUUUAUUUAUUUUAUUUAGCCCAUCCGCCUUUUAAUGUUUUUGUAAUUAAGUUUUUUUUAUUUUUUUAGUUUACCCUUUUAUUUAUUUUUAUUUCAAUUUGGUCUAAUUUGAACGGCGUCGUUUAGAGGAGAAGGGAAAAUUGCCCUUCCAGCCCCUCUAUAUAAUUCGAGCAUUCAAUUAAGUCCUCCAAACUUUAUUUAUUUGCGAAUUUACCCUGGAUCUUUAUUGGCGAUCCAAUUUAGUCCAUUUUCAUAUUUUCUUUAAAAAUCAAUAUUUUUGAUAAUGCAAUUGUAUUCUUUUAAUUUUUAUUUUAUAAUUCUCAUAUGCAAUUAUUAUUAUUUUUUUAUAUGUAUAUUUAAGCAUGUAUUUAUGUUUUUUUAUACUAAAAUUUUCGCAUACUUAUAUUUUAUAUACACAUGUUUAAUUUAUUUAAUUAAUUUUAAUAUUAUAUUAAUUGUUUAAAACUUAUGUAUUUUUUUAUGUGUACAGGUAUAUUUUUUUAUUCGCUUAUUAAUUUAUGUUUGCAUAUUUUUAUUAUUAUCUUACCUAUUUAUUUGAUAUUUUGCACGUCAUUAUUUUGUUUAUUUAUUUGUUUAUUCAUAUUAUUUCUAUGAAAUUGUUGUAUUUAUUAUUGAUAUUUGUUUAAGGGGCAUUCAUUCACAUAAUUCAACAUAACAUUACCCUAUCUCUUAUUUAAUUUUAAAAUAAAACGCUUCAAAAUAGAGGUAAUACUCGUAUUUAGGAUUUCUCAAGGAAAUUGAGCCCUAACGUAUUGGGUUCUGAUUUUUUUGAAAAUCUAACAAUCGAUGAUUUCUCUUUAAUCAAAAAAAUAAGAACUCAUUAUUGGGAAUUCAACACGUUGUGUCCUAACGUAUUGGAUGUGACGCAUUGAUUUCUCGAAAUGAAUCUUUUUUUUCAAAAUAAUAAAGGAAAUAUUCCGAGUUUGGGAUUUUAGAGGAAUUGUGCCCUAACGUAUUGGGCCGCGAUUUCUUAAAUCUUGAAUAAAUGGAUAUUCUUUUACAUUUUUUAUUACACUAGUAUUUUGCCCUAAUUCAUUUUUGGGAAAAUUAGAAUGUCGUGCCCUAACGUAUUGGGUGUGGUAUUUUAUUUCUCUGAAAUGAUAAUGGUCUUAAUACGUAACGUUUUAAGUUUUUGCUAAGGAUUACGAUUUUCAAAUUUUCGACAUUAAGACAUUAAUUAAUUAACUAGGUACCAAUUUUUGGGCGUGAUGAAGGUGCUAAUCCUUCCUCAUACGUAACCGACUCCCGGACCCGUUUUUCUAAAAUUUGUAGACCAAAGUCAUUUUUAGGUGACCCAAUUACACCUUAAUAAAAGAUUGGUGGCGACUCCCAAUUUUCAUUUUUUAAAGUCGACAACCUAAAAUUUUUGUUUUCUUCAAAAAAAUGGUUUCGACACAAGAGUUGAGGAGAGAGGGGUUAUGAGUAAUUCAAGACAUUAUAUUAAUAUUUAAAAAAAAUCAAUUUUUGUAUCUUUCAAAUCACAAAAUUAGCAUUAAAAGAUUAAGAUAAUAACGAUAAUAAAAGGAAAGCACUACAAAACAUGAGCUUAGUUGGGAAAAGCUUGAAAAUCCAGUUAAAAUUUUAAUUUGUUUUUAUAAUUUAUUGAUAAUUACGAUGUUGACGUUAUUGAAGUUUUACAAUUCAGAAUUUCAAAAUUGGCAUAAUGAAUAGUCCUAUCAUGGAAACAUCUUGUGAUCGUAUAAGGCAAUUUCAUGAACAUGAAAAUGUUAUUAUCUUACCCAUGUGAUGUAUUUGUAUAUAUUAGUUUUCUUUUCUAUAUUAUGUUUAAACUUAUUUAUAUGUAUAAUAUAUAAAUAUAAAAAUAUGAAAAAAAGUCUUUUGAUCCGUUAAAAAAUAGAAUGAUUAAGAGAAGAAAUGUAUUUACAUUAAUAUAAAAUUAAAUUAAUUUAUAAUAAUUUAUUCAAGGGUGUAGCUAGGGGGCUGGCAGGGACCCCACCCCUUAAAAUGAAAAAUUUUCUAUUUAGACCUUCUAAAAAUUUUAAAAAUUUAAAUUAGUAAAGGUAAAAUUAUGCUUUUGCCCCCUAAAAAUGAUAAAAAUUUGAUUUAAUCCUUAAAAAAUUAUAAAUAUAUAGGCUAUUAAAAUGGUGAAAUUACAUUUUUACUAUCGUAAAAAUUAUAAUUUAAUUUCGGCCCCCCUUAAAAAAAUUUCUAGCUUCAGCCCUGAAUUUAUUGUAUGAUUAGUGUUUUAAUAAAUUGAUUGUUAAAUUUAUUAAUAAUAUAACUGUAUUGUUAUUCUUAUAAAUUAUCCAUUAUUUUGCUAAUAAUAUUUAACCCUAGUGGUAAAAGUAUUGUUGGUUCCAUCUUUAGUGACUUUACCCUUAUGUCAGGGGUCGCGGACCAAAUCUCGUGACCAUUGCGCACAGAGCGUCCUAUGGAAGCCAACUGAUUAAAUGGGGCUCAUUCGACCCAUCUUUAACCCACUUGAAGCCUUGGUGGCCCAGUGACGCACUCCAGUAAAAAUAGAGUUACCAAGGUAAUUAAUGUAAAUCCUAAGGGAUAAAAAUGUAUAGAGUUUAAAUCUAUUAGGACUUUCAUAUUGUAGAUAGGCACAAAUCUCAACUGUUGAUGUAAUUUGAUCUGUACCGUUGGAUCUGAGGGAGCUCAACUAUAAAUAGAGGUCUUUCCACUCAUUUGUAGUCACUUAAUUGUAAACAUUCAAAGUAAUAGAAUACUUUUGAGAGCAUUUACUCAAACAUUUGGUGUGCACUAUUUUUUUGUGACUUUUCUAUUCGUUCAUGGUUUUUUUCUCUUUCGAGUUUGCUUUUGUUUUGUUUCAGUGUCUUAGAGAAUUUUUGCAAGAAUUUUCAUUUUUCGAGAGUAAGACUGACUUAGCAAAUUUGAACCCAAGAAAUCGCCUAAAGCUUCAUGGUUGGCCAAACUAAAGUUCUAGACCCGUGACAAUUAGUAUCCGAACCAGUGUUCGAAGGUGCCGGUUGAGAUGACGAAAUGAGGAGACGAACAGAAUGUCCCUAUGGAGACAUAUAGGAGAUUCAGGAAAAAUAACAGAUCGAGGGAUAUGUUGUUGGCUUUGGAAGGUCGAGUGACCAAUCUCGAAGAAUACAUGGGUAGUGUGAAGGAAACACUCGAGGUGGUUGAGGGACACACUGAUGAGUUAGACUCGAUUAGAAUGCAGCUCAAGGACUAUGUGGCGGAGGCUCUUAGUUCCAAUCGAGGUGCGAUGAGAGAAACCCUCAAUACCGUCAUGGAUGAUAAGUCCGAGAAGCUAAUUAAGAAGAAUGAUGCUCUCAAAGCUAUGGUCGUGGCUUUGAAAGAGGAAUUGUAGGCCAUGAUGUUGAGAACUGAGGAGCUCAACUAUAAAUAGAGGUCUUUCCACUCAUUUGUAGUCACUUAAUUGUAAACAUUCAAAGUAAUAGAAUACUUUUGAGAGCAUUUACUCAAACAUUUGGUGUGCACUAUUUUUUUGUUACUUUUCUAUUCGUUCAUGGUUUUUUUCUCUUUCGAGUUUGCUUUUGUUUUGUUUCAGUGUCUUAGAGAAUUUUUGCAAGAAUUUUUAUUUUUCGAGAGUAAGACUGACUUAGCAAAUUUGAACCCAAGAAAUCGCCUAAAGCUUCAUGGUUGGCCAAACUAAAGUUCUAAACCCGUGACAAUUAGUAUCCAAGCCAGUGUUCGAAGGCGCCGGUUGAGAUGACGAAAUGAGGAGACGAACAGAAUGUCCCUAUGGAGACUUAUAGGAGAUUCAGGAAAAAUAACAGAUCGAGGGAUAUGUUGUUGGCUUUGGAAGGUCGAGUGACCAAUCUCGAGGAAUACAUGGGUGGUGUGAAGGAAACACUCGAGGUGGUUGAGGGACACACUGAUGAGUUAGACUCGAUUAGAAUGCAGCUCAGGGACUAUGUGGGGGAGCCUCUUAGUUCCAAUCGAGGUGCGAUGAGAGAAACCCUCAAUACCGUCAUGGAUGAUAAGUCCGAGAAGCUAAUUAAGAAGAAUGAUGCUCUCAAAGCUAUGGUCGUGGCUUUGAAAGAGGAAUUUUAGGCCAUGAUGUUAAGAACUGAGGAGCUCGAGGGAGAGCUUAUUAUGUGCAAAGUUGCUGUAUGGAAAGGGAUGUUGACUUUAGUUCCUAAACAGUGCAAAAUAGAUGUCUCAAACCAAAAGAUUUUAAGGCGACAAAGUCGCAAGGGAUGUGGAAAUUUUUAUUUGAGGGAUGAAACAACACUUCCAUGCGAUAGGCAUCAAGGAUAAUGUCACUAAGGUAAACACUGCUACAGUUUAUUUUGUUGGUGUCGCUCUUUGUGGCACUGUAGGCCCACAGAUGAGAAAUGAUGUAGUACCGCAAUUGGGACUUAGGAUGAGUUCUAAAAGGAACUGAAGAAACAAUUUUACCCACACUAUGCCGAGAAAGAGGCUCAGGCUAAGUUACAUCGACUUACGUAACAAGGCACUAUUCGGGAGUAUGUCAAAGACUUCUGUAAAUUGAUGCUUCAAACCUUUGACUUGAGUGAGAAAGAAGUAUUCUACUGGUUUAAAGAUGGGUUGAAGUUGUGGCCAAAACAGGAGUUGCGUCAACAAGGUAUCACUAAACUUACCAUAGCCAUGGCUGAGGCAGAGUUUUUUGUCGAGCUUGGUUUGAGGAAAAAAGAAGUUUGAGUUUUCUAAGCCCAAAAAGAUGGGCAAUGGUGGGGGAGACCAUGAGUAAGAGUGGAAAGUUAAAAAUGGCAAUGGUGGAAAUGGUAAGAAUGGUGGUAAUGAGAAACCACAUAAUGGGAAGUGGAAGCCUAACAACAAAUCGAAGGGGCCAGUGAAAUGUUUCUUUUGUGACGGUUUACAUAUAGUGAGGGAUUGUCCAAAAAAAUCUACGCUUUCUACCAUCGAAGGGGAUGAUGAUCUAGACAGAACAUCAAUGAGGCUAGGUUCGAUCUUAAGUUUUUUUGAAGCUAAGAGUGUUAGAGAAAAUGAAAAAAAUGGUGAAGUGCUUCUUAUGUUGUGGUUCGCAUAGGAUGCGAGAUUGUCUAGAGUGAUUUAAGUUAUUCGUAGUCAUUAAAGAAGAUGAAGCGGUGCUAGAGAGUGAUGCGUUAAAGCUUAGGUCAAUGACACUCAAUUUUGGGAAAGUUAAGAGGGAUCACAAGUAGAAAUGGUUGAUGCAUGUGGAUAGCAACAUCAUAGGUCAAAAACAGAGUGCUCUAAUUGACACGGGGACAUCUGAAUUGUUUAUAUUGGAGAAAGCCAUGGGUAAACUUAGUCUCUCGGUUAGCAAAUCGACCAAGAAUAUCAAGACAGUUAAUUCUAAAGUGGUCCUAAUUGUAGGAGUAGACAGAUCGAUCAAUGGAAAAAUAAAGAAGACUUUGAGGUAAUUCAGUUGGAAGAUUUUGACUUUGUUCUUGGCUUGAACUUUCUUGACAAGAUUACUGCUCUGUUGGUUCAUUUUGCUUAUUUUUGUCGAUUGUAUAUGUAUAUUGGAUACACGACAACAACAAUGUGUUAUGCUAGUGAGUCGAGAAAUAAGGGAUGGAACCAAGGUAUUUUUGGCAAUCCAACUAGCCAAGGAUGUUCCGUGUAGGGGGAAUAUUGACUUGGUAUAUCGGAGUGCUAUGAAGACCCCUUUGGAAAUGCUAGAGGUACAAAAAAUUGAUAUGAAGGUUGUUGAGUUUUCGGUGGGGUUACCACCUAUGAAAAAGGAAGGUUGUGCAUCAAAUUUUCGAGGAAAAAUAAUGAUGCAAAAUUGGGCAAUUAAACAGAGUAAAUGCUAUGAGCUAGGUACAUCUCAAACACUUAUCGAGUGCUUUACAUUUUGACUUAUCGUUGGUUUGGAAAAGACAUAGAGACCAUUUCAAAGUUCUAAAGUGGGUAAGCUAAUAGGCUUACAAAACAAGAGUUAGUGACAAGACUCAAGGUUAACCCGAUGUUCAAUGUGGGUAUGUGGAACCCUAUUUGCAAGGAUUAAAAGGUUCUCAAUCAAGGCAAAUCACAAUUGGGCCAAAUAAGAGUGGUGGCCUCUUAUGUUAGCUUUACUUAAGCUUUAAAAUAAAGCAACCUUAAUUCAUAUCAUACAUAACCCCAUUAUCUUUUCUUAAUCAACUAUUUGUUUUGUGACUUUGAUUUUAUAUAAACUUGAAAUUUUAAAUGUUUUAAAUUGGUAUUUGAAAUUUGAAAGAAAAAACAAUAUAUUACCACAUACUUUCAAGUAUAUGAGUCAUAUACAUAUAAUUAGUCAUUUGUUUAGGAUUGAGAUAAGUCACAUUAUAAACAUUUCAAGUGAAUUUAUUUAUAAAUUAAUUUAGCUUGAGUUCUGUCCAAUGUAUUGUCAAUCCAGAAAAUCAACAUGCGUUUCUAUCUCUUUGGUAGUUAUCUACUCCAUUUAGAUUGACUACUAAUAUAAGUUGUCUUUUCGCAUCAUAAUCGACCUUAUGAUGCAACUUAAUACUAGUUAAACAUUAUGUAAUUAGUGAGUCAAUAUUUGCUUUUAUUUAUUUUGCUUUUAUUGCAAAAACAAGUGAAGACAAAAAUACAAAAGAUAAUAAUUUAUCUAUGAAAAUUUAUUAACCAAUCUAUUUAAAAAAAUUAUAGGAAUAAAUAAGAAAUAACUACACUAAGAGCACAAAACCUCGACAUGCUCCCCUCUCACAUGCCUCUUCCUACCGCAUCUACCUCCUCUACUCACUCCGAUAUCACCAAUAUUCAACUUGGCUGAUGUUAAAAACAUGCAAGUAGGACAUGGAAGUAGACGUGAAUUUAGGGGGGAUGACAGUGAGUCAAUAUUUACUUUUAUAUUUUUUUCGUACAAAACAAGUGAAGACAAAAUUACAAAAGAUAAUAAUUUAUCUAUAAAAUUUUAUUAACCAAUCUAUUUAAAAAAUUAUAGGCAUAAAUAAUGAAAUAACUACACUAAAAGCACAAAACCUUGACAUGUUCCCCUUUCUCAUGCCUCUUCUUACAGCAUCUGCCUCCUCUACUUACUCCAAUAUCAUCAAUAUUCAGCUUGGUCGACAUGUCAAAAACAUGGACGUAGGACAUGGAAGUAGAGGCGAAUUUAGGGGGUUGGCAAUUCCCCCUCUAAAAUUUGAAAAUUUGUUAUUGAAGCCCUUUGAAAUAUUAAUUUUUUUUAUUUUUAUAUUAUAAUUAGUGUUUAAAAAAAGGAUAAAUUUGUGUUUAGCCCCUCAAAUAUUUUCAAAGUUUUUUAAUUGGAUUUCUUUUAUAGACUUUAUAAUUUUUUAUGAUAAAUUUAGUAACAUUUUUAAUUUAAUUUGAUAAAUUAAUAGUACCUAAAUAUUAAUUUGGUAAAAAUAAAGUUAAAUAAUUAUAAUAUCUAAUAGAAAUUGAACAUUUAAUUUAAUUUAUUUUUCCUAAAUUUUAGUAGUCAAAAUUAUCUCAAAUUUAAAAAUAUUAAAAUAUUAGGCCCAACCAUAGGGCCGAGCCUACUUUGAAUAUAUAUAUAUCAACCUCCCUUAUCAAUAAUUCUAGCUUCGCUCUACAUGGAAGUUCAAGAUUGCGAGGUGAAAGGUAUUCAACAUUUGUUGGAGUCAAGUUCUUUGGAACAACUGAUUUGAAGAAGGCUGCAAUGGUGCUCACUCCUGGUGUAGUUAUAUCCAAUUGAAAACCCGUAUUCAAAACCUUAGAUAUGCUAAAACAAUACAUAAUACAUUUGUACUAUUAUUUAAAUAUCUGAUUGAGUUGAUGUCACGAGUUAACCGAACAAUAACUUAGUUAGAGAAAUUACGAAAAUGUCUUUUCGUAUUCAAAAUAAGAUAUAUAUUUUAGGGUAUUUUAGUCUUUUUAUUUAAAUAAUAAAUAAUUUAGAUAUGAUAAGAUUUGAACCUAUGAUGUUUGGGUUAAUAAAACUUUAACUUUACCAUUCAAAUAAUGAUUUAUCAUGAUUUUUUUUGUAUUUUCUUUUUAUUAUGCACACUUUAUUAUCUCUGUCAAUUAUAUAUUUAUAGUUACUAUUAUUCAAAUUCUUGACUGAGUUGGUGUCACGAGUCAACCAAGUACCAACUCGAUUAGAGAAAUUACGAAAAUAUCCUUUCAUAUUUAAAAUAAUUUAUUUUAAGGUAUUUUUAUCUUUUUAUAUAAAAGAAGAAUAAAUAAUUUGCAUAUGGCAGGAUUUGGACCCAUGACAUUUGGGUUGACGAAAUUUUAAUUUUACCACUCAACCAAUGUUUUAUCAUAAAAUAUUUUAUACAUUUUAAUUUUAUUAUGCACACUUUAUGACCUCCAUCAAUUUUACAUACUGAUAAUACUAUUGAUUGAGUUGGAGUCACAAGUUAACUUGACAUCAACUUUAAGAUUGAUGACAACACUAUGAUAAACAAUUGUAUGCAUUAAUAAUCUUAAUUUGAUAUAUUUAGGUGUUUAAAUUUCGUUUUACUUACAAUUUAAUCCAAUUUGUUUCAUUUUAAUAUUGUACAUAUUGCAUGUGUUAUCAUUAAUUAGUCUCAAACCAUAUGUUUCAUUAUUUAAUACAUGUUAUUUUUAAACAUACUUUUGUCUUUUAAAUAUGUAAUUCUCAUAUUCAUAUCACAUAGGCUUCGGAUCAAAGCUCAUGAUCAUUGUGCACAGGAUGCUCUAUAGAGGUCAACUUAUUAAAUGUGACUCAUUUGAUCCACAUGAACUGCCCCGAUUUAUGGAACUCAUAAAGAAGCCCAUGUACUUGAAGCAUUGGUGACCCAAUGAAACACUCCAGUAAAACUAGAGUUACCAGGGUAAUUAGUGUAAAUCCUAAAAGGAUAAGAUUGUAUAGAGUUUAAAUCCCUUAGGACUCUCAAUUAUAGAUAGGCUCUAAUCUUGACCGUCGAUGUAACUCAAUUUGUACCGUUUAUUUUGGGGGAGCUCAACUAUAAAUAGAGGCAUUCCCCCUCAUAUGUAAUCACUCAGUUGUAAUCCUUCAUAAAUAGUAAUUGAAUACUAUUGCGAGCAUUUACUAAACACUUGGUGUGCGUUAUUUUUCUGUGGCUUUUUGUUCAUUCGUAGCUUCUUUUGUCUUUCAAGUUUUCUUCCUCUUUGCUACGGUAUCUUAGAGAAUUUUUACAAGAAUUCUCAUUUUCCGAAAGUAGGCUAACUUAGGCAAGAUUCGAACCUAAAAAAUCGUCUAAAGCCAUGUGGUUUGUCAAACUAAAGAUCUAGCCCUGUGACACAUAAGCGUGUGAUAAAAUUUCUAAUAUAUAUAGUUGCAACUAUAUCAUUGCAAAUUUAUGUGGAAAAGAAGGUAAAAGUACCAUUAAGGCCCUUGCAUUAGGAGUCAGAUUGCAUUUUGGCUCUUAUAUUAAAAAUGGACAAAUUAGUCCCUAUGUAUUAGAUUAAAGAUCAAAUUAGUCCUUAUUGUGACUGAUAGAAUAACCAAACAGUGACAUGUGGCAUGCUAUGUGUACAUAAUACUCAUGUACAACGACCAGUUUUAAUAGUAACAAUGGAUGAAAUUUUUAACAAAAAGACUAGUUUGCUAUUUGAUCUAAUGUAUAUGAACUAAUUUUCCCAUUUUUUUGAUAUAAAGAUCAAAAUAUAAUAUGACUUUUAGUAUAAGAAUCUUCAUGAUAUUUUUACCAUAAAAAGAAAGAAGGCAUGAAUAGUGGAGGCUUUGCAUCCAACUAUGAAAUAGUUAGGAGGGAAAUUAAAAUGAAGUGUACGAUGCAUUGGAUGAUUGGAAACACCAUUCAUUCAACAUAUGUUAUUCAUAUGUAAUACCUAAGCCAAGUGAACUAAUUAGUUCCACUAUAAAAGUGACCUGUGUUAAAAGAUUAAUAGUCACAUGCUCAAUAAUUGCAAAUUGGUUAUAUUUUUUUAUUGAGAUUAGAGUAUCUAUUGUUAAUAGUAGUGAUUUUUUUUUUAUUGUGAGUGUUUUUUAAAGAGGUAAACAUAUGGUGAUGAAAUAUGUCCCAUUCUUAUAAAUAAGUAUCGAACCUUGAUUAAAUGAUGAAUUAAACAACCACUAUACCACACCUCAUAUUUUUUUAGGGUGGAUAUUAAAGUUACUGUUGGCUACUUUGUUAGUUGUACCAUUUGAGUUGUUGAAGGUGGUUAACCAUUGGUUUAAGAUUUGUUACUAGAUUUGAAUUAUAUGAGCCUUGUAAAAUAUAAUCCACCAUUUCAUAUCCCACAUUUUAUUUUGUUCACAUGCAUUCUUAAUUUAACUCGGUUUGAAUUAUAGUACAUCUUACUCCCAACUUGUAAUUUUAAAGGUUUGAGCUCCAUUGUUAGAAAUGACUUAGAAAUUUUGCCAAGUGGUUGUAUUAUGGAAAACCAAUUAACCCUUAAAUCUCUUGGUUUGUGUUUGAUACAUUAAUGCAUAAGUUUAUAUAUUUACAAUAAAUCACAUGUUGAUUUUGUGGGUAAAUAUUACACCAAGUUGAUGAAUUGGGACUAAAUUGAAUAGUUCAAGGCGUGUUGGAUAUUGUCAUGAAGGAUAGUGCAUUAUAUAGUGUAUUCAUAGAAUUCAAAAUUUAACAAGUUCUUCUAUUAUAAAACAGGAGCAAAAAUCAACAAUAGAUUACAAUAGAAAAAUACUCAACAAUUUGAUAAGGAAGGAGAGGAUGAGCGAGUGGAGAAAAUAGAGUUCUUAAGAAAAAUGAGCCAUGGUAAUGUAUAUGGACUUAUAGAUAGAAAGUGAGUCGUGAGCAAUGGUAAUAAAUUUGAACUUGGCUAAAUUUAUAUUCAAUAAGUUAAUAGUUAAGUAAUUUAUUUUUCUCUUAAAAAAUUAAUAAAAAUAAUUCCAAAAACAAAAGGACUUGGACGUCUGGAAUAGAGGUGUUCAUGGGCCGGGCCGGGCCCAGAAAAAAAUUUUGCCCAGGCCCGGCCCGGGAAAAAAUUCAUAAGCCCGGGCCCGGCCCGGCCCGGCCCGUUUUUUAAAUAAAUACCAAAAAUUUAUUUUAAAAAUUAAAAUAAAAAUUAAAAAAAGUAUUUUAAAAAAAUUUUAAAAUUAAAAAAAGUAUUUUAAAAAAAUUUAAAAUUAAAAAAUUUUAAAAUUAAAAAAAUUAAAAAAAAGUAUUUUAAAAGUAUUUUAAAGUUAAAAAAUAAAAAUAAAAAUAUUUAUUAUUCGGGCCGGGCCGGGCCGGGCCCGGGCCAAAAAAGUGGUGCCCGAGGCCCGGCCCGUUUUUUAAUCGGGCCUCAUUUUUUUGCCCAAGCCCAUAUUUCGGGCCUAUAUUUUUACCCAAACCCUCCCAUAUUUCGGGUGGGCCGUCGGGCCGGGCCGGGCCGCCCGGCCCAUGAACACCUCUAGUCUGGAAAUAAUCACACUGAAGGAAAUUCACUAAUUUACACUACACUAGUUAUUCAUGUCUAAUUCUCAUACGCGCGAAUCCACCCUUAUAACUUGGUUCUUAUUAGUCUAAUAAAAUAUAAUGAUUUAUAAACAAGAUUUUCAAAAUUUUUCUUUAGGAAUGCGAGAUUUAGUUCUUUCAAAAAAUCUUAAAAUUUUCAAAAAAUAUUUCAUCGAAAUUAUUUAAAAUAAAUACAAUCAAUUCAAUUUUCAAUGUAUAAAAUCAUAUAAACAAGAUUUAAUUGGAACAAAGAUUAAAACUCUAGUCUUAUACUUAAAUAAUAUUUUAUUAAAAAGAAUGGGCUAACACCCUAAUAUUUCCUUCCCUCAUCAAUAUUGUUAUAUAUACCCUAAAAAAUAUUACAUGAUUACCAUUAAUGUACAAAUUUAGACACUAAGAGUAUUAAACAUAGCACAUGUUGACAGUGCAUUGAAGCUGACAUUUGUUUGAAUGUGGCUUGUCUGUUGCUGUUCAAAUACAUUGAAUUUGCAAAUUAGACCAAUUGGAAAACUUGGGGUUAUAGUUAACAAUAAUUAAGGUUGAAAUUGAGUGUGGGAAGGAUAAAUGUUAGGUCCAAAUCAUCAAUGUUUCCUUAGCUUUUCUUGUGCCAUUUUCAUAGCAAGACAGCAUGCAGCACCAUUUCUUUUCUGAGUGCUAAAUUGACGGUGAUGUGAAGUUGAUUUCUCAGCAAACAAACAGUAGGUUUGGUGUCUUAUAUUAUGUGCUGAAUUCUUCAUUAGCGAUUUUGACACCUUCAACCCCGUUGAAGAGUCCCCAUGAAUUUUGUAUUCGGGUAUGCAUUAUAAUUACUUAUAGAAUAAAAAUUUGAGGUUAAAUUGAUUUCUAAUUUUUUUUUAUACUUUAUACAUUUAAAAUUUUGGUCCCUACUUUUAUUUCCAGGAAUUUAGUUAUUUAUUUUUAUUUAAAAUUUUAGAUCCAGUUGUUAUCACUAUUAAAAUUCUUCUAUUCAAUUAUUUCGUAUGACAUUUCAAAUUAAAAAAUAUUCACUUGAUAGUCAAAUAAUAAUAAAAAUAAUGUUGAAAUACUUAUUAGGAUUUUUUUUCUUAAAAACACCUAUUCAAAAUUGCCACGAUAAUUUUUUUUUGUUAGAAUAGUGUUCUUAAGAAAAUUGGGGUUAGCAUUUUGAUUGAAAGAGUUAACAAUAUUAACUAUUUAAACUAACUAAUGGCUAGGGGUGAGCGUUUGAUCGAAUCGAGUGAAAAAUUUUGAGUUGAGUCCUAUUUUAUCAUCCUAACUUGAUUUGAUUUUUUUUCAAAUUGAGUCGAAUGAAAUGAAAUUCAAGUCAAGUCAAAUCGAGUGAACUUGUUCGAGUUAAAUUAAAAAAUUAAACAUGUCAAAUUAAAAUUUUGUUAUAGUAUUACUAGUUCCAUGUUAGAGCAUCUAAAUUUGAAACCAUAUAUAUUUAAAAAACUUUUUCAAAGCAAAAUAAAUAAAUAAACUUUAAUACGAUAAACUUAAUAAUUAGUUAAACUUAUUUAGGUCCCAAAUUUAUUGUUUUAGAAAAUUUUUUAAUUUUUAACUUUGUUUAUAUAUUUGUUAGAAUUUUUUAAUAUAUAUAUAAAAUUUGAAAUUUGUAUAAAUAUUUUGAAUUUUUGAAAAUUAUUUUGAACUUUUUUUUGUAAUUUUUGCUGAGAGACCAAUUUACUGAUUUUCAAAAUUGAUAGGGACAAAAGGAGCAUUUACACCAAUUUGUUAUUUGAAUAGUAAAAUUCAACUCGACUCGAACUUGAAGCUCGAAAUACUUAUUCAAGUUUACUUGAAAAAAUCCAACAAUAUUUUUUCAACUCGAAAUUCAAAUUUUUAUUUUAUUUUUGGAAUCAAAUCGAGUUUUGCUCACCCCUACUAAUGGCAUUACAAAAGUAGAGAGGCCAAAUUAUGUCAGAAACUAAAGCAUAUAAGUUAAAUCUCAAGUUUCUUACAUAGUCUAGGGGCCAAAAUUGAAAUUUGACCAUUAUCUUAUAAUGUAAAAAAAAAAAGAAGCAAAGUAAACCUAAAAGAAAGAAAAAUCCAUGUGUCAGCCUCUACAACUUUUAAGGCAUUCAAAUUAUAUUUCAUGAUAUUAACUAUUGAGACUCAUUACAAAAUAUAGGGACCAUGUUAUGUUAGAAAUUGAAGUAUAGAGUAAAUAUCAUAUUUAAACAUUAUAGAAGGACCAAAAUUAAAAAAAAAAAAAGAGCUUCACUAUCAAAGUGGCACGUGUCAAAAGAGGAAGUAAAAAAACAAGUUAACGAUAUUAACUAUUGAGACUAAUUAAUAACAUUAUAAAAUAUAGAGACCAAAUUAUAUUAGAAAUUAAAGUAUAAAGUAAAUAUCAAAUUUAAACAUAUUAUAAGGACUAAAAUUAAAAUUUAACCAUUUUCUAAAAUGUAAAAAAGAAAAAGAUUCAUGAUGAAAAUGCCACCUGUCAAAAGAAGGUCCUUUGGAUCGUUAACUAGAUAAAAUUCGAAUGUUUUGAUUUGAGAGUUUUCAAUGCUAAUCAAACAUAAAAAAUUCACUUGAAUAAAAUUUAAAUUCCAAAUAAUUUUCGAGUAUAAAUUAUCCGAUUAAUCAAAGCCAAAAAUUACAUGAAAUUCCGGUUAAUCAUUCCCUCCAAACCUGAAUGAAAGCAUCCAAGGACUAUGUCAUCUGGGCUUUUUCUUUGUAUAGGAGAAAAUGCUCAAAAUGCUUUUUCAAUGUUUAACUUUGACGUUAUUUUUCUUUCUAAGUGCAUACUUUAAAAUUAAGAUUGGCCAAAAACCCAAUCAAAUGCAACCUCAACAAAGAAUGACCCUCGUAGGUGCAAUCAUUCAAGUUCCUACAAUGAGGCUCCAUGCCUUUUAGUAUCCGUGUAUGAUUCCAAAUAACAAACCGGAAUAUGCAAAGAUAAGAUGCUGUAUGAAUAUUUCUUUGGUGCAGCAUGCAGCUCAUAACGGUUAAGAUUUUCAGGUUGUCUUACACGGCUUCUGGUAGUAGUUGAAGGACAUGAUAAGAUCUUACAUAAGGAGUGUAACUGAGACUUCUUUCCACUAUAUUGGUUUUGUGGUUGAUACUUCUGAUGAUCUUGCUUGAAUGCCCUCAACCUUCCUUUGUGGCGUAGCACCAAAGGGAAACUGACCGAAUCAGUUGUUUUCAAUGAAUCACUGGCGCUUUCCACACUUGAUGAAGGAUGGGAUUUUAGUGGUAAUCUACGUUGUUUCAAUGCUAAAAUAGAUUCUCGCAAUGUAGAUGGAACCUGUAAAGCGAAAGAUGAUAAAUAUUGAAAUCCGCAAUAUAAAAGCAAGGCAACCUCCGAAAGACUACCUAUCCAAUUAGCCUAAAGGAUUGUGAAAAUAAACAGAAUAGGCAUAAAUGGUCAUUUCAGUUACAAUCUGAUAUCAGAAUAAAGGCUUUUCAGACAAAUUCCCUAUUCAUCAAAGAGCAAAGGCUUCACCUUCAUAGACCAUUUAUUUCUCCACAAGCAAAUUAGAGUUAGAACAGAAAUGAGAACAAAACAUGGACAUAAAAAUGAAUUGUAUAAGAACUUACCACCGAAACAAGGCUGCAAGAAGCAAACAAUGAAGAUGAAGAGAAUGGAGGCUCCCUAGGCUUCUUUUCCUUCUGAUUGCCAGCAACAGAUCCAAAACUGGAAGGUGUAACAUCAUCAUCAUCAUCCUCUUCCUCUUCCUCUUCCUCUCCGUCUUCCUCUUCAUCCACAACUUUGUCAACAUCAUCUUUGGGAAUGGCUUUGUCCUCUAGGUUAGCCACCACAGAAGUAUCUUCAUCCUCCAGCAAUCCCAUUUCCAUCUUCUUCUCCUCCUCUUUUUCUUUCUUCUUUAGUUCUUCAUCCAUGUCCUCAAUGGCCUCUUCUAAACACAGUUCAGCCUCUAUAAGAUCAAGUUCCUUUUCAAUAAGCUUCAUCUUCAACUCACCAGCCUUCUUCUUCUCUUCAGUCCACUUUUCUAGUUUAUCAAAUCCUGGCUUCAACGCAUUUUCUAUUGCCGUUAUUAGACGCUUCCAUAUAUUAUCCCUUUUUUGAAUCACUUCCCGUCCAUAGAACUCAUCAAAUCCAAGGGGCAGGAACUUAGCCUUCUUUGGAUCAAUCUCUUCACCUUCUUUCACAGGUGGCUGCCAAAAUAAUCGGACACCAUGUUCCUCAUCCUCAAUGUAAUUGAUCAAUCGUCCAGUUGGGGUAUGCAAAAUGAGUGGGUCUUCAGUAUAUAUUAGCUUUGACGGAUCUUCAGGAUCAGGUUCCGGUUCUUUGUUGAUAAGUACAAAUUCAGGAGUCUCAUCUGAUCAAGAAAAUGUAAACAUCCAUUUAAAAAAACCAAAAAAGAAAAAGAAUUCUUGAUAUCACUUUCAGAGACUAAGAAAUAAUAAAUGAAGCGAAUAAAGAAUACCUUUCGACCACCAAUAUUCAAGCUCUGCAGGCAUUGGUAACCUAAGGGGAGCUUUAUAAAAUGAGUUUAGCCACAUUUCUCUUUCCUGAUCAACUUCAUGCACGUAUGUCUUCCAAUAAUCAGGAACCUGCCAAGUGCCAACUAACAUACUUAUUUUCUCUUCCUUUUCAUUAUUAAUGGAAGAAUCCACCAUGCAAAAGAAAAGCUUUUACUUACUUCGUAGAACUGAUUGAUAAAACCUGGUGCCAUCCACACAUCUUCCUCCUCAUAGAAAUAGGGAUGUUGAGGAUCACCAUAAGGACCUCUCUCUUCCCUAACCACUAUACGUGCAAGUCAAGAUUAUAUAAGGUUAAUGUUUAAAAUUGUUAGUGAUUAAUGUAAAAAGGCAUAGGGAUUAGGGAUUCCAAAGUACCAUGUAGAGGGUAAAUCCAACAGAAAAAGUCAUGCAUUCAAAUUUCAGAUAAAUUAUACAGAACAGUCAUCAAGAGGCUCCAUGAAUCUCCAAAGAGCUUCCUUUUGCACCCAAUAAACAGAUAAGCAGAAGACUUCAAGGGAGGUUUAGCAUCGAUAACUUAUAGGCCAUAUUCAUCUCUAAAUAUAAGAAUCUACAACUUCAUCACAAGUCAAAACGUUGACUUAUCCAGUUACCACAAGGUACAAAGUUCAGCCACUUCUAUUUUCCUUUUAGUUUUCCUCUCUUUCUGUUUCUUACUUGAGCAGAGCUCUACAACCAUGACCUAUAUAGCACAAGCUUGAACAUUGGUUGGCAUGAUUGACACUAGCAGACAGAACUCUUGUGUCAACCAUAACAGAUGCUUAUAGGGACAAUUAUAAGAGAAUUAUGUCAAAUAUACCUUAUGUAUUUUUGUCGAAGAAAUUUGCAGUGUUGAGAACGUGGGAAUAGGACCAAGUCACUGGGUGAUUAACAGCAACCCUGGAAGCGAUGGCCUUCCCUUUAUCACUAUUCCUAGAACAACCUAUGGUGAUUGAUGAUCAACUCAUCGAAGGGAGACUGAAACCUUUAGGGCUCAUUUAGAGAGAGACCUAGAUCUCUUAAAAAAUAGAUAGAAAUUCUGCUUAUGUUUUUAUUCUCCAAUAAGUCCUUAAAUAGGGAUUAAUUACAUAAAACUAUGUUUCUAGUAGGAAAUAAAACAACUAAAUCCUAAUAAUGAAAAAUAGCUUAAAAUAAACUAAACCCAAAGUAAAAGUAACGUAAAAUAAGAAGUAAAUAAUUUUACUUUAAAGACUUAAACGGAUGCCUUUUUCCUCUUAUAUAUGCAACCAGUAAAAGUGUCCACAACACACAGAGAUCUAUCAUGUUUCUAUGUAUAAAAUCAUAGAAGUUACUGUGUCAAACAAGAUUUUGUGCCUAUACAAAUCUAAUAGUUAAUAAAGCAAGACUACAUACUUCCAUCUGGCUUAUUAACAAACAUUCGAGCCUUAGCAGCAGCAACCUCUGCAAUACCAGCAUGCAUCUGAAAAAAUACAAUGUCAGAGAAAUACCAUAAUAUAGAAUUUACUCCCCCCCCCCCCCCUCCCAACUUCAUUUUGAACUAUUUAUUAAGUAGGAAAAAAUCUAAAAAUACCGCUGAAAUGUUCUCAUCGCAACCAUCUAAAUCAUCCAAUAGCUCUCCAAAAUAGAAUCUACCCUGCACCAUUACAAAUUUAAUGGAACACAAAAGCAGUCAAGCACUUUUAUAAGAGAGUUUGAGUAGCUGAAAUGGUUCAUACAACAAGUAAAGAAUAAUAUAUUAUGUGUGUGUAUAUAUAUAGUAUCAACCACCAACCAAAUUGAUCGAUGAAUGUGUUGCAUUCUCUUAAAAACAUUAUAUCUUAGCAUCUUUCUUUUGAAAAAUUUUGAAUAAAUUUUCUAUUUUUCAACUAUUAUGUUACUAGAAAGCAUUAUUUUUAAAGAAAACUGAGGUCUAUAAAGUAGAGGGCAAAACUGAGCUGCAGCAACAACUAUUGAAUCUUAUGUACACUACAUCUUCAUGGAAGAAAUGGAUUCAAUUACACAAAUUGAGACUCAAACAAAAUGGUUUAUAUUUUAAGCACAUACAUAGAUGGUGCGCUCAUUGACCUCAUAUACACCACACCCAUGCAUUCUGCCAUGCUUCCACUGGCCAGCAUAACGGUAUCGACCCUUCUCCCUGAAACAGAAAUGUUUGUCUUAAUAACACCACAAACUGAGAUAUAUGCCUGCUAAAGUCUCAAAAGUUUGGCAGAAAAAGGUACAAGUGCCUCGCAUGAUACAACGUAAAUGCUCAAUAUGUGCACGUGCAGAUUGGACCAUUGAGUAGAUUAGGAAAAGCAACAUGCACAUGAUCAAAAAUUAAAAUGAGGCAGAUUCAAAUGCAAUGACGACAAUAAUAAGACAGAAAGAAAUAGAAUAUUUGAUAAAGAAACAUACGGUUUUCUGCCAAAAUGUUUGAUCCAUAUAUCACUCUCAUAAAAUGGUAUUUCAUAUUGCCCAUCCGCCAGGCGAAUGCUAUCCUCAACAUCCAUCUCUAACCAUUCUCUAUCUUCUGGAGUCAUGAAAUCUCUUGAUAUUAUUUUCCCUUCAGCUCGCAUUUUUGCUUCAAGCCUAGCAAAAUGGGAAAAUUCCAACUUCGUUGUAUCAUUUAUAAAUCCAUUGCUGAGAUUGUGAAACCUAUGCUAUAACAAACUGCAUCAUAAAUAGUUCACAAAUUGUUACAUACUUGGAACCUGGCACAGGUUCAAUAUCAGGUAUAUCAACUUCAACAACCCCAUGACCUUCCAUGUUGUUUUGCAGCCAUUCACCUUCAUACCUAUAAAAGGAAGCAUCUUGUAAUUUUUUUUUCAGCUCAAAAGUACUUGAUGCAACACAUUAGUCCAAUACAGAACAAUUUAUGGAACCAUAAAAGAGAGGAAAAUGAAAUAUUCAAAGAGCACUCUCAGGGUUGAAUAAUGCAAACGUGAUCAUUUCAAUCCUGCCAAUGUUAUCAAGGGCACAAGGUGCACUCAAGUCACUAGAGCCAAGCAGGUAAGGAAUUUGAUAUUGUCCACUUUUUUAUCAAUAAUAAUAAUAAUAAUAAUAAAAGAAAUGCAAGAGUACUUCAAUUGGGCAAGCUUCUAUUUGCACCUACCGCCGUACAAGAAAGCACACCUAGGUGCACCAGCCACCAGGUAUGUGACUGAUCUAAUGUGCCUUGCCCGAAAGGGUCUCAUUGCUUCUAUAACCUAGCACCUCAGUGCUUGACAUCGCUGACUCCUACAACUACAAACAAUCUUAUCUGCAUAUUUAAGGAUCCUUUGAUCCAGGAUGGUACGAGAACAUAUGUAUGAAGAAAGCAGAAAACAGCAUUAUGAUAAAGUGAAGAGAUACACAUACACAAGAAAUCAAGACUGAAGUGUCAAGCAUUGACAAACCUGACCAGCCCCUGUUCUGCAACAUAAACACCUUUGCCAUGAGCCAAAUCAUCCCAAACCGUGCCUUCAUACCUUAAACAAAAUGCAGAAUGACUAUAAUGAGUAAUCAAACAAGUCAAAGCAAAACCAGAAUCAGGCAUACCGUUACCCGGAACUUCAAACAUGUCAAAAGCAAACUACUGGAUUAAAAACGAGUGGAGGACUGACUUUCAACAUAAAGCCACAAUUUUGCUUCGUGCAAUUGACCAAGUUCAAACUUAUCCAAAUGCACAUUUAGCUACCUCAUUUACAAACUCCCCAGUCCUAAAUAAACUACCAUACUGCAAUAAAGUUGCAUACCUUAACAAGACAAAUAGUAACAAAAUGAGGGGAAAAGAGUAAGAGAGAGAGUCGGUUUAACAUACGAGCUUCCAUCAGGGAAAAUGUAGCUGACCCAAUUGAGAAACUCCUCAAUCCUAUCCAACUCUUCAAUAACUGCUUUGGGGUUCGAAAUAUCAUAAUGAUUGUCCGGUAUAGCCGGAUAAGGCUUCCGAUAAGGAACAUAAAACGGGGCAAUCCCCGGGUCCCGGCCCUCCUUAAUCUCAUCCCUAACAAUUUUCCAAUCUUCCUCAUCAGCCCAAACAGGGUCCCAACCGGGUUUGGUCAUCUCCAGAGGAGCAUCCACCCAAUACUCCUUCAAAUCCUCUUCCCGCCAAUUCUCGGGGUCUGGUGGAAAAUCCCAUAAGUCUUCGAUGUAAACGUAGUCUUCGUCUUCUUCCUCUUGGAUCCUCUUGAUUCUCUUGCUCUCCAGCACCCGAGUGUACCUGCGGAUGUUGGUUUCGGGGGUGUUUACGGUUUCAAGUGGGGCCUCUCCGGGUCGGGUGUAAGUGAGCGUUUCGGAAUCGGAUUCCUCGAUGUAGUCGUCAGAGGAAGAAGAGGAGUAGUCAGAGUCGGAGUCGGAGUCUGGGUAUUGCUGUUGCGACUCAGUAAGUUGUUGUGCUUGUUCUUCUUCUUCAUCAUCCUCUUCUGGGUCUUGUGACUCAGUGAGUUGUUGUUCCUCUUCGUUCGACAUUGCUUUGCAGUAGAAAGAAGGGAGAGGUUGAAGAAGAUAAGGUAGAGAAUGUUAAGAAGAAAAGGAUCGUUAGGAUUGAAGACAGCGGUUUAUCAUUUCAAAAGGGUUUUGGGCGUUUUGGCAUUUUCCAUGUCUUUUAAGUGAUUUUUGUGGUGUACCUACCUUUGCUUUCUAUUUUCAUUUUGGUAAGUAUAGACAAAUGAUGUUAUCUUUUUUCAUGUGAAUUUGGUAGAUAAUAAUAUUUUACACAUUUUAUUAAUUUGGUUCUAUUUUUAGAAAAUUUAAUUUUAAAUUUUAUACAUUCUCUUAAUUUUAUCUUAAUUUUAAAUUUUUAAAAAUUCAAAAAAUUAAAAAUUAUUAAAUGUCUGAAAAAAAUACAUAGAAAUUAAAAUUUAGCGGGUGAAACAAAAACAUGAAAUGGAUCGAAACAAGGGUACUAUUUCAAGGAAUGAGGCACAAACAAUUUCAUGGUUCUAGACAAGAUUCUCCACAUCUUUUUCUUAGGUUAUUAAAUGUUAAGUUUUUGGGUUGAACUUAAACAGUUAAACUUUCAUAACGCAUCAUUCAUUGCUUGUGGGCUCAUUUGCUAAACUUUUAGACUAGAAUUAUUGAAGAAUCAUAUUUGACACUCUUUUGAUGAACAUACAUUUAUUUAUAUAUAUUUAUAUGUUUAAUUAUUGGAUUUAAAUUGUUAGACUAUCCAAUAGGAACCUCCAUUAUUGGAUUUAAAUUGCUAGCUGGGUAUAUUUAUGUUGACUGCACUGACAGUAGAAAGCAAAUUUCUAUCUCCAUAUCAACUAUAAAGACUAAGCAUAUCUUUGCUUGAAGUUAUUGUACACUUCUCUAGAGGUCACUAUGGUGUUAAAAAAAGUGUUGCUAAACAUUUCAAAGAAUAAUAUAUUGUACCUACGCACAUGAUUAUGAGCCUCCAAGUGUUAGAUGUCAUGUUGAUUCUUCAAAAGUGCAGAAAUGAUUUAAUCAUUAGUAUUCGUUAUAUUUAGACCGCAAUAUCUGGUGAGGAGUCUUUGUACCUAAGAACAUGAUUAUGAACGUCCAGAUGCCAUGUCGGUUCUUCAAGAUUGGAGAAGUGAUGGAGUUUUAUGGUGGUUUAAACAAAUAUUCUUGACUUGAAAUGCAAGGGAAUUUUACCUUUAAACAUCAAUCUUGGGAUUGCUCCAUUUACCAUGUUUACUUGAUAAAAAAAUAAAACCAGUUCUCAUGAUUCAUAUUCGAUUGUUAAUGUUCAAAUUUUGAUACUAAUCAAAUUCAAGCUCAAAUAUUAAAGCUCGUGAUAGCUCAACUUGCUGUAAAUCACAAAGUAGAAUUCAAAUUUGAUUUCCAAUAUUCAAAAAAUUUUCAAGCAAAACCCAAAUAUCUUCCAAGAGUAUAAAAUUUUCCCAUUUACACUCCUAGUCACAGCACUCCCAAUGUGAAAUUUUAAAUGAAAAUAAAACCAAUAGGACCAAAAGUAUUGAAGUUGAUCAUUCACCCCAAAUCCCAAUUGCCUGAAUGAAACUUUCGUUGAUCCUUCAACUUUCAUAUAAGAAUCAAAGCAUCCAAGAAACAUUCCAGAUGAGAUUUUGCUCAUCGUCUAAGCUUUUUCUUUGUAUAGGAAAAAAUGUGCCAAAGCUCAAAAUGAUUUUUCAAUGUCUAACUUUGACGUUAUUUUUCUCUGUUUUUAAAAAAUAAAAGCUAAGUGUAUACUUCAAAUUAAGAUUGGCCAAAAAACCAAUCAAAUGCAACCUCAACAAAGACUGACCCUCGUAAGUGCAAUCACUCAAGUUCCUACAAUGAGGCUCCAUGCCUUUUAGUAUCUGGGUAUGAUUCCAAAUAACAAACCGGAAUAUGCAAAGAUAAGAUGUCUGAAUAUUUCUUCGGUGCAACAUGCAGCUCAGAACGGUUAAGGUUUCCAGGUCGUCUUACAUGGCUUCUGGUAGUAGUUGAAGGGCAUGAUAAGAUCUUGCAUAAGGAGUGUAACUGAGACUUCUUUCCUCUAGAUUGGUUUUGUGGUUGAAACUUCUGAUGGUCUUGCUUGAAUGCCCUCAACCUUCCUUUGUGGCCUAGCACCAAAGGGAAACUGACCGAAUCAAUUAUUUUCAAUGGAUCGCUGGCGCUUUCCACACUUGACGGAGGAUGGGAUUUUAGUGGUAAUCUACGUUGUUUCAGUGCUAAAAUUGAUUCUCGCAAUGUAGAUGGAACCUGUAAAGCAAAAGAUAGUAACCAUUGAAAUCUGAAAUAUAAAAGCAAUGCAACUUUCAAAUGACCACCCAUUCAAUUAGCAUAAAGAAUUGUGAAACUAAACAGAAUAGACAUAAAUGGUCAUUUCGGUUACAAUCUGAUAUCGGAAUAAAGGCUUUUCAGACAAAUUCCCCAUUAGUCAAAGAGCAAAGGCUUCACCUUCAUAGACCAUUUUUUCCUCCACAUGCAAAUCACAGAAUUAGAACAGAAAUGAGAACAAAACAUGGAAAUAAAAUUGAAUUGUAUAAGAAUUUACCACUGAAACAAGGCUGCAAGAAGCAAACAACAAUGAAGAUGAAGAGAAUGGAGGCUCCCUAGGCUUCUUUUCCUUCUGAUUGCCAGCAACAGAUCCAAAACUGGAAGGUGUAACAUCAUCAUCAUCAUCCUCUUCCUCUUCCUCUUCCUCUCCGUCUUCCUCUUCAUCCACAACUUUGUCAAAAUCAUCUUUGGGAAUGGCUUUGUCCUCUAGGUUAGCCACCACAGAAGUAUCUUCAUCCUCCAGCAAUCCCAUUUCCAUCUUCUUCUCCUCCUCUUUUUCUUUCUUCUUUAGUUCUUCAUCCAUGUCCUCAAUGGCCUCUUCUAAACACAGUUCAGCCUCUAUAAGAUCAAGUUCCUUUUCAAUAAGCUUCAUCUUCAACUCACCAGCCUUCUUCUUCUCUUCAGUCCACUUUUCUAGUUUAUCAAAUCCUGGCUUCAACGCAUUUUCUAUUGUCGUUAUUAGACGCUUCCAUAUAUUAUCCCUUUUUUGAAUCACUUCCCGUCCAUAGAACUCAUCAAAUCCAAGGGGCAGGAACUUAGCCUUCUUUGGAUCAAUCUCUUCACCUUCUUUCACAGGUGGCUGCCAAAAUAAUCGGACACCAUGUUCCUCAUCCUCAAUGUAAUUGAUCAAUUGUCCAGUUGGGGUAUGCAAAAUGAGCGGGUCUUCAGUAUAUAUUAGCUUUGACGGAUCUUCAGGAUCAGGCUCCGGUUCUUUGUUGAUAAG